rnacentral:lncRNA from 1 species
UCAAUUUAACAUCACUAAUUUUAUUUUUAAAAAUUUUAAUUUAUUAUAAAAUAAUAUUAUAUUUUUAUAUUCAAAAUUUUUUAUUACUAAAAAAGAAGUAUAAAAUUUUGAUUUUAGGCUAUCAUAAAAUUAUGUUGCAUAAUUUUAUAGAGAGUAAGUGUAUUCUUUGUAACAAUGCUUCUAGAAAUAAAGGCAAAAACUGAGUAUUACGGAGAAUUAGCUGAAAAUUAAAAUCUCUAUAUCCGAGUGAGAAUACUUAUUGUAAAUCAAUUACAUUAACGAGUACAUCAAAAGAGUCGGGUGUUCGAGCAUCGUAGCUAGCUAGCUAGUGUCUCUUUUUUCUUAUCUUUAAGCCAAUCUUUUUUUCUUUUUUUUUUGCUUUUAUACGAUAAAAUAUAGGAUAAUUUGUGCUAUGAUUUAUUUUAGAAUAAAAAAUAUAUAAAUUCAAAACUUCGCAUGAUCACUAACUUGAGUGUUAAUAGUCAAUCUAUAAAUAACAUAUUCUAAUAUAAUAAUGUAUUGGGCUAAAUUGCACUGUUACCUCCUGGCCUUUUGGUAGAGUUUCACUUUACCCCCAAAUUCAUAAAAUGGACAUCUAAUACCCCAAACUUUAAUAUUUCAUUCAUGUUACUCUUUCCGUUAAUUUUUGGUUAACAGAGCUUGACGGUAUAACAUGAAUAAAAUAUUAAAGUUUGGGAUGUUAGAUAUCUAUUUUAGGAGUCUAGAAGUUAAAGUAAAACUCUGUCAAAAGUUUAGGGGGUAAUAGUGCAAUUUAUCCUAUUUUAUUUUUUUUACUAAACUAUAACUUAAUGUAAUUUGCACUUGAAUUAUUUCUAUAAAUAAGCAAUAUAAAUAAAAGACCAAACUUUAAAAAAAAUUAUAAAGUCAAAAAUUAAUUUCAACCCAUAUAAAAAUUAAAAAAAGAGCAUAUUACAUACUUAUACGAUCAUUCAAGAACAAAUAAAUUUCAAUCUAAAAACUCAUUUAUAAGGGUUCAUGUGAAUAGGAAAAGGGAGAGAAAGAGAGAGAUAAAUGCAUAUUGAAUUGGUUUGAAGGGUUUGGAGGGAUAACAUUAUAAUUUUACAUAAUAUGUAAGAUUAUUCGUCAUUAAUAAUACGAGAUAUUUCUCCACCACUCGAUAAUAUUUUUACGGUACGUUUGGUUCGUGCUAUUUUUUUAAGAUUCCUAAUAAUCCAAUAGGAAUAAAAAAAAUAUGACAGUGUUUGAUUAAACGCACUAAGUAAUCUAGUUGGUAAUACUAGAUUUACUUGGGAUGAGAUGCAUCCCAAAGUACUAAUCUCAUUCUUUUGAGAGAGUGUGGGUAUCAUUAUAUUAAUGAACGGCCCGGCCCGGCACGGCGCGUGCCUGCAGGGCCAAAGGGUCGUGCCGGGCCGGGGGCAAGGUAACUCGGGCCCGGCCCGGCACGGCACGAAAUUGGAUCCGGGCCGGGCCGGGCUGGCCACCAGUCCGUUUCGGCCCGAAAAAUGUGGGCCGUGCCGGCCCGGCACGGCCCACAUUACACCCCUAGCCGAAACGCACAAGGGGGAUUCAAUCCCCUCACCUCAAGGAUUCCCUCCCAAGGUACCGAAGUACGUAGUUGAGAACUUGAGUCCAACUUCUCUCCGAAGUUGGGAAUUUGUGCAACGACAAUUAGCUCGACAACAACCAGCUUUAGCGCAAGUGGCAAAGGAUCUGGUGAUUGAUAUCCAGGAUCCUAUAUUCAAAUUCUAACUGCUUCAUAUUUUUAGCUAACUUUAUUUUUAAAAAAAAUAAAACGAUACACAUCAUACUACCUUUCUUUAAAAAAAAAAAAAAAUACAAUUAAUUAGCUAGAGAACUGAACAAAUAUUUUUAGAUUUAAAUACGCAGCAUGAGUAACAAUAUUACACCAGGUUAACGAAACUAAUGGUUGCGAAGAAAAGCUGUUUAUUGGGCAAAGAUUUAUAGGCUUGAUGAUUUACGACUGAAAAUAAUGAUUAAAUAAAUAAAUAAAUAAACAACGUAUAUCCACCCGCUCUUUCCAAUAGGGAAAAAUGUGCGGGACCAUCUUGAACUUUAGUCCGAUUAUACGAAGCCGCCCAAAACUUGAAAAAGUUGAAAAAGACCGCAUGACCUUUCAAUUUGAAAGCAUGAAAUGAGUGUUACAAGCCAUAACUAGCUAGAAAAAUUUACAAAAAUUCAGACUGGGCGGCCGGAUUGCAACGCAUUGAAAGUUCAUAUAAUUUUUUUACUUUGAUUUUGAUUUUUUUUUUUUUUUUUGAAAUUUAGACGAUCAAAUAUAGUCGAACAAAAAUUCAGAAAGCCCAUUACACUUUUAGGAUGUUCAAAUUUGUGGUCCUUGUGGGAAGUCGGUCUAUGAACAGCGCUGGACUUUUUUUACAAAAUAACCUUCUAGAAUUUUAAAAUUUAUAAAAUAAUAACAAUUUAUUCAUACAAUCCUAACAAUCAAAUAAAAAUUCUAAUAAUUCAUGUAUAAUUCUAAUCACCUCACUUUUUUUCUAUUUUUCAUCUAGCAACCUCACUUUUUCUUAUUUCAUGUACAAGAAAAGGUGAGAUGUUAGACGAAAAAUUAGAAUUUUUAUUUGAUUGUUAGGAUUAUAUGAAUAAAUUGUUAGGAUUUUAAGGUUGUUAAGAUUAUAUAUAAUUUGUUGUAAUUUUUAUGUGGUUGUUAAGAUUAUAUAUAAAAUAUAGAAAAAUUUAGUAAAUAAGCAAAAGACGGUAAACCAUUCACCGACUUCGUUAAUUAUAUUAGUAAGACGGUGAAUCGUUCACCGCGUUACUUAACGCGGUGAACAAUUCAUCACCUUCAUAAGAAAAAUCUGCCCCCACCCCUACGUAGCGAAAGGAGAAUUAGUUUUACAAAUAUAAGUUUGGAAGAAUUAUUUUGCAAAUUUUAAAACUCUAUAGGGUUAUUUUGUAAAAAAAAGUCAAACAGCGCUGCCGGACACUUCUGUUUUUUUUUUUCAAAUAACCUUCUAAUUGAUAGAAUAAUUGUUUUAAAAAAAUCAUUUGAGCAAAUAACCCUUCUUUUGCCAGUCCACUGAUGCCAAAAGUGGUGAAUCAUUCAUGUAAUUAAGAAGGUGGCGGCCAAUGAUUCACCACCUAUUACCACUUCUAAGUUCUACGUUCGGAAAAUUCAAAGUUCAAAUUCAACUUUAAAUUUUAAAAUUAAAUAUCAAAUUCAAAUUUAUAUUUUGAAUUCAUCGAAAAUUAAAUUCAAAUCUUUUAAAAUUCAACUUCACAUUUCAAUUUCAAAUUCAUAUUUUGAUUUGAAAUAUCAAUUCAAAUUCAUAUUCAGACUUUAAAUUCAAAGUUAUAAUUUUAAAUUUUAAUUUUAAUUUUGAAUUCAAAAUUUGAAGUCUAAUUCAGAUUUUGAAUUCAAAUUACAAAUCAAAUUUAAAAGCUAGAUUUAAAAUUUAAAUUUAGAUUUUGAAUUCACAUUUUAAAUUCAAAGUCAGAUUUUGAUUUGAAAUAUCAAUUCAAAUUCAAAUUUAGACUUUGAAUUCAAAUAUUUCAAAUUGAAAUUUAAAUUCUGAUUUUGAAUUUAAUUUUUGAAACAAAAUUCAAAAUUUGAAUAUAAAUAAAUUUAGAUUUUGAAUACAAAUUUAAAUAUCAAAAUCAAAUUUCAAUUUCAAUUUCAAUUCCAAAGUCAAGAUUCAAAAUUUGAAUUUCAAUUCAAAUUUCUAAUUUAGUUUUAAAAUUUUAUCUUUAAAUUCAAAUUUAAAAUUUUAAUUUUAAGUUAUUACUUUAAAAUUAAUUUUUUUUUAUUUUAACUCAGACAUGAUUCACAAUUCAUAAUUAUUUAUUGAGGCAUAAUUAAAAUUUCAAAUUAUUAGUUUGAAGACCGUGAAUGGUACACUGCUUUUGGCAUAAUGAAUCAUUAUGGCGCUGAAUUGGUAAGAGAAAGACUAUUUGAUCAAAUAAAUUUAAUUUUUUAAAAUUUAUUUUAUCAAUAAAAAAAUUUUAUCCAGUUAUUUGUUAAAAAAAGGAAAAACUUUAAAUACCACCCGUGUGGUCUCGCAUUUUCUCACUUUAAUACUCUGUGGUUUAAAGUGUAUCACUCUCAUACCCUGUGGUUUUAUUUUUCUUUUUUCGUUAUCCCCUCCUUUAAUUUUUUUUUUAUUAAAUCACUGACAAAGUUAAAACUAAAAGGUACUAAAGUGAAUAUUCGAUAAACUAAGGUGAAGUAUUUGAUGUUUUUUAUAUAUGAUUCAAUGAAAAGUUAACAGAAUGACUGAUAAAAAGAGAAAAAUAAAAUCGUAAAAUACUAAAUUAAUACAUUUUAAAGUAUAGAGUACUAAAGUGAAAAAAAAUAAAAAAAAAAAAACACGUGGCGCAGGCGGUGACAUCAGCUAGGUUACGAAGCAAAUUCAGGCGUCCCCACACAUUUUGGACAUCUGACGAGCGAGCGAACCUAAUCUCUUUGCCAAAUAUGAUGGGGCCCACCACCACACCACCUCAUCCCAAAACAAGGACAGCCCACUACUCAUUGCUAUCUUCCCCCACAUGCCCCCCCCCCUCUCUCUCUCUCUCUCUCUCUCUCUCUCUUUCUUCCCCGCGCGCGCGCAGUCCCCUGAAUGCGAAAUGCCACUGGCUUACUUCUUUUGAACACUCUCCCUGCUAUUUUCUCCCCUACAUCUAUUUCACAUCAGUCUGUGCGGGUCAUCUGUCCCAUAUAUUAUAAUAAUGUUACUGAUAGCUAUUUAUAUUUAUAAUUAAAAAAGAUUUACUUGAUUCGUGUGUAUAUAUAUAUAUAUAUAUAUAUAUAUUAUAUAUAUAUAUAUAUAUAUAUAUAAUAUAUAUAUAGAGCAGGGCUGCUGUGCUCUCAGCUCUCAGGAGCACGGAGGCCUCCGUGCUCCUGAGCUGUUUUCGAUGAUGAGUUUUCGAAUCGACGAUCGCUCCGUUAAACUUGAUCUAGCGAUUUAAAGUUUCUAGAAAAUAAUUUUUGCGAUUUUUCGAUAUCAUUUACCUAGCAAUCGAAAGGAUUCAAAUCAAUAAUUUUUAACGGCUGAAAAUAAAAAUCCUAUAAAAAGUGAUGAUAUAGCACUAAAAUUUUCGAUCAGAAAUAUAGAUCUUGUUGUAGAUAGUAUAAAGAAUUUUCUCUCAAAAUUUUACUUGAUUUGAAUACUUCUACACCGUUAACUUGAAAACGGCCAGAUAUCAACCAUUAAAAAUUAUGGAUUUUGAAUCCUUUCGAUCACUAGGUAAAUGAUAUCGAAAAAUCGCAAAAAUUAUUUUCUAGAAACUUCAAAUGCGCUAGAUCAAGUCUAACGAGCCGAUCGUCGAUUCGAAAAUUCCAUCAUCGAAAACGGCUCAAGAGCACGAGGCCUGCGUGCUCCUGAGAGCACAGCAGCCCUGCUCUGUUAAUAAUAUAUAUAUAUUAUAUAUAUAUAUAUAUAUAUAUAUAUAUUAUAUAUAUAUAUAAAAGGUUCGAGAUUGUUACAUGAAUUUACUAGCACGUCAGUAAUUCUGAGUGACCUAGGCAGAGCGUCUCUUAUUUUAAAAUAGAUUUAAUGAUCAUUGUAUAAAGGGUCCCUUAAAUAGUAAAAAAAACAUAGUUCCCCGGAAGUUAGUCAUUUUAUAAAUAUACAAAGUUAUAUCUCUCAAUUCUUUUCACUAAUUUUAUUUGAGUUUUGUUUUUUUCUUCUAUAUUGAAUUGGAGAUUGUCAACAGUUGCUUAAAUCAGUUGCUCGUUCUAUUUGCGGAAAAAGUAGUGCAACACGACAGCCAUCAAACUUUCCCCAAUUAGAUUCAUCCUGAAAUGGCUCAAAUUGAAACAACUCAAAUUGAUCAGUGAUGCUAAUGAAACGAAGAGUAGUUGAGUGCUCUUAUUCAAAAUUGCUUUUAUAUAUAUAUAUAUAUAUAUAUAGUCCGGCUAUGGUGCUUGUAAAAGCACCAAGCACUUGGUACUUGUAAGUUUUUUACCAUUAGAUCUACUCCUCGGAUCAUUUUUAACCAUUAGAUUAUACUAUUCAACCAACCACUCACUCAACCCUAGGGGACUCAUAUCAUCCUAACCGUAUAUCUUUUAAUCCAAUGGCUAAAAAUCUACAAGCACCAAUAACUUAGUACUUUUAAAAGCAUAGGAGCUCAAUUUUAUAUAUAUAUAUAUAUAUAGAGAGAGUGAGGCUACUUUGCUUCUAGAAGUACGGAGCCUUCCGUGCUUCCAGGUCGUUUUCCAUGUGCAACUUUCUAAUCGUCGAUCGGCUCCAUUAAACUUGAUUUACUGUAUUUGAACUAUUUAGAAAAUAAAUUAUGCGAUUUUUCGAUAUUAUUUGUCUAGUGAACGAAGGGGCUCAAAAUCAACGGCUGAAAAUAAAAAUCUUACAAAACGUGAUAAUAUGACAUUAAAAUUUGAAAACAAAGAUAUUGAUCUUGUUUUAUAUAGUAUAAAUGAUUUUCUAUCAAAAUUUCACGUGAUUUGGGUAUUUCUACACCGUUAAACUUGCAAACGGCUCACUACGACCAUUAAAAUUAUUAAUUUUGAGCUCCUUCGAUCACUAGGCAAGUGAUAUCGAAAAAUCAUAAAAUUUAUUUUCUAGGUAUUUCAAAUACUCUAGAUCAAGUUUAAUGGAGCCGAUCGACGAUUCGAAAAUUGCAACAUUAAAAAUGACCUAGAAGCACGAAAGGCUCCAUACUUCCAAAAACAUAGUAGCGUCACUAUAUAUAUAUAUAUAUAUAUAUAUAUAUAUAUGAGUUGAGUUAGAAUAUUAUCGAUAGCAAACGAGCUCUUUUGCCACCCAUUUGUUUUCGAUGAUAGAGCCUCCAAAUCGACGAUCGGCACCGUUGAACAUGAUCUAUAUCACUUGAAGUGUUUAGAAAUCAAAUUUCAAAUCUUUUCGACAUCAUUUGCUUAAUGAUCAAAGGGUUUCAAAUUUUAUAAUUUUAAUAGUCGAUAUGAGGCAUUUUCUCGUUUAACGGUGUAAAGAUAUCCAAAUCAAUUGAAUUUUUGUUAAAAAAUUUUUUAAACUAUUUAAAACAAGAACUAUACUUUUGAUCUUGAUUACAAGACUCCUAUCAUUAUAUUUUUGAGAAUAUUUAUUUUCAGCCAUUCAUUUUUAUGUCCACUCGAUGGAUAAGAGAACAAUAUCGAAAAUGUAUGAAAUUUGAUUUCUAAAUACUUCAAAUGGUAUAAAUCAUGUUCAACGGUGCCGAUCAUCAAUUUGGAGGCUCGAUCAUUGAAACAAAUGGGUGGCAAAAGAGCCGAUUUGCUAUCGAUAGUAUUCUAGCUCAACUAUAUAUAUAUAUAUAUAUAUAUAUAUAUGUAGAGAGCUAGGCUCCUAUACUUUCGAAAGUACGGAGGCCUCCGUGCUUGUAAGUUGUUUUCGAUGAUGGGACAUCCGAUUCGGCGAUCGGUUCCGUUAAACUUGAUCUACGCUAUUGGAACUAUCUAAAAGCCAAUUUUAAUAAUUUUUUGCUUUCAUUUGUUUAGUGAACGAUUAGCCUCAAAAUGAACGGCCGAAAAUAAAAAUCUCAUAAAAAACAGUGAUAAAGGACUCAAAUUUCAAAUCGGAAGUAUUGAUCUUGCUAUUGAUGUUAAAUAGAAUUUUCUAUUAAAUUUUUAUGUAAUUUGGAUACUUCUACACCGUUGAACUUAAAAACAUGCCACAUCGGCCGUUAAAAUAGUCAUUUUUGAGACCUUUUGAUCGCUUGGUAAAUGAUGUCAAAAAAUUAUAAAAUUUGGUUUCUAGAUAAUUCCAAUAGGGUAGAUUAUAUUUAACGGAGCCGAUCGUCGAAUCGAAUGUCCUAUCGUCGAAAACAACUUACACGCACGGAGGUCUCCAUACUUUCGAAAGUACAGGAGACGUACUCUAUAGACAUAUAUAUAUAUACAGAAUUGAGUUAGAAUACUCUCAAAAGUAUCAAUCCCUUGGUGCUUUUGAGUUUCUAGCCCUUGGAUCUACUUCUUGAUUACUAAUAGCCUUUUGAUCAAAUACUAUUCCACCUACCACCAUCAUCUUAAGCCUACAUCUCUCCAUCCAAUGACUAAAAACUCAAAAACACCACUCCCUUGGUGCUUUUAAGAGUAUUCUAGCUCAACUAUAUAUAUAUAUAUCUAUAUAUAUAUAUAUAUAUAUAUAUAUAUAUAUAUAUAUANNNNNNNNNNNNNNNNNNNNAUAUAUAUAUAUAUAUAUAUAUAUAUAUAUAUAUAUAUAUAUAUAUAUAUAUAUAUAUAUAGUUGAGAGAUCGUUAACGCGUAGGAUAGAGAGUUACAGUAUGUAGAGAUUUGGCUUUGCUAGCAAUUUCAUAGUUUUAACAAAACUAUUUCUGUGUAGCUAAUAAUUGAAAAGCACUACUAGAGAAGGGUUAUUGUUGUAAAUAAAACAGAGCCCAUCAAGCAGGGUAUUAUUUUGCUUCGGUGUAAUCUAUGCAUAUAUGUAUAUAUGCAUCUGUGCCUUUCAUUUAUUUUCGGACGUGUUUGCAUACAAGCUCCAACUUGGUGUUUGGAUCAUCUACGUUACGUAAUCGGGAGGCACAAGAUGACAAUAUGUCGUUUGCAUGGUCGGUGUGAGAUUGAUUGUUUCUUGUUCUCAUUUGACUUGUUGUCUAUAUAUUAAUUAUUAUUAUUACCUAAUAUUCUCAAACCAUUAUUCAAAAGAAAUUUAAUGGUUUAAGAAUUAAAGAGCAAUAUAUGGUCAAAAGUACAAAUAUCAAUUUACCAUAUGGGAAUAGUAAAGGGAAUAUCCAUACAUUUUAUCAUUGAAAAAAACAAAAAAAAAAAGAAGAAGACAAACUUAGAAAUAAAAUUGACAAAUUAUUGGACUCACUAAACCUAGUCAAAUCUAACAUACGUACACCAUAUAUGGAGACCCACAUUAUGAAUAUUUCAAACAUAUUAAAUGGAGAAAUUAAAUCCACUUGUGGAUGUAGCAAUCAAAGAAUGAAUGUCAUGGUAUAAUAAUAGAUUCAACGAAAAUAAAAGAAAGGAAAAGAGCAAGAGCAAGAGGUAUUCUCGAUGCGUUGUUGUGGACUACGAAAUCACGUCUUCUUUGAGCCGCCAGAAUUAAGAUUUGAUCGCACCGCAUCCAAUCUAUGUAGAAAAAUAAUAUAAAAUAAUAUAAAGGCGGCCAAACUUGAAAGGGAUGGUACGGAGAUGAGGAUCAGAUAAUCCAUUUGGAAUUCAGGAACAAAAUCUCGAUUUAUUUUGAGAUUUUAUGUAAUUUCUCACCUCUUUAGGUUGUAACAGUAAAAAGAGAAUUAUGUUUUCUUAUGAUCCACUGGUUCUAAUUAACCACCGAUUCUGACCGUGCAAAUACUAUUUGAAUAAAACUAUUUCAAAAAACACUAACAGAUUCUUGAGUUACUCGGCUCAAAUACUUCACUUUUGGAGCAUCAAGCAAAAGCAAAAAGAUCGGAGCUUCUUGUCACGGACUUAAGUGAAAUCACUUGUCUAGCCCGUGCGGCGCUCGCCUUCCUUCGUAAAGUGAACUAGUCUACCUCUCAACUAGCUAAGUCAGGACCUACUCGCUCUGAGACUAAGUAGGAGAGAGAGAGAGUUUGAGGAAUGUUGUUGUAUAUUGACAAGAGAAAGAUUACAACUGACUUCCUAAGGAGAGGGGGUGGAGGCCACAAUCUUAUAUAAGCCACUCGCCACCCAAGCUACAAAUGAAAAGGCACCAAGUGGCGCAUAACUACAAGGCAAAAAAGGAGGUUACAAGCUCCCAAGAGACUACACUUAUUACUCUCCUAAAAACUCUAAGAGACUCUUGACCCUUCGGCAUCCGCGCUAUCAGUCUUGAAACCUGCAUAGAAGCUUCUGGAACGUCCCAACAAAACCUCCGACAAAACUCUCCUUCGGAGAUUAGGCGACUACAAAGGAGAAGUCAGCGAAAAACACUUUGUCACUGACAACCUCCCACGCCUAACGCACAGACGCCCUCGUCGCGUGCGGAGCUGCUCCCGAUCUGUGUAGCCUUUCGUGUAGUCCGCCGUGCCUUCGCGCCCGAAUAGCCCCGAGCCUUGCUACCGUAGUCCGCAUUUGCCCCUGCACCAGCCCCUAGUGCCUUGUCCCUCUGAGAAUCCCCCAAGUGUGCCUGCCCUCAACGACACACACGUACACGCCGCCAAGGCACAUGAUGCUCCAGGGUCCCCUUGGACUCCUGUUUGACAGAAUGACUCGCACUUUGCUUGGAAGCUGGCUGCUUCAAUGCCACCUGAGACUAGAUAGCCUCACAGCUACUAAGAUCCUCCUCCUUAAGGUCCUCAGCCUUCCUGCACUGCACCUCCUUGUAAAGCUGUAGGGCCGCAUCGGCUCGCCUCGACACAGCGAAACCAUGCAAGGCACCGACUCGUCUAGGAAGCUCAGCACCCACAAGUGUGGCAUAGACGUUGCCUUUGAUGAAACUAGAAAGUCCAUCCGGAGAAUUACUCUGAAGUUGUCGAGUGGCCCAAUAGUGAGAUUGGCUUGCCCCUCCACGGAUCGAUGGCUAUGUCCAACCCUUUGGCAACUCCUGUGAUUGGACUUUCCUUGGAGUUGACCGCCUUGAUGCAGCUCGCAUCCUUCUCGAGUAUGAGGCCCAACCGCUUGGCCUCCACCUCCGUGACAAGAUUGUGUGUCGCGAUGGUGUCGGUCAUCGUCUAUGUGGUCCUCCUAUUGAGGAUCACAUCAACGAACAUUAGCUCCCUCUUGCUGAGCUUGUCGUCGCUUGGCUGACCACGAACUGCAUUGACGAGCCGCGCCCAUCCUUAGCAGCUCCACCAUAUCCUCGCCCUCCUCGGCUUGGACCGCAGCCACUUGCUUUCCCUUCUAGUUGCUCCUGUUUGGGCAGUUCCACACCCAAUGGUUCUCACCGCAAACAUAGCAUGAGAUCUUUGCAGACGGCGGGGCGGGAUUCUGCUUGUGCCUCGUUGCAUCAUGGUUCCGCUUGUGCCCUUUCGCUCCCCCUAGAUCGCGGUGCCCUCCCCCACGUUUGGCCUCGCUCGCCUUUAGUGGUUCACCUUGAUCGCCCUCAGUUUACUCCCACUCAGGCAAUUUCUUCGCCAAAGCGGUCGCGGAGUUCAGGUCCUUCAUAUUUCGCCCCAAGAUCUUUUUGUUUACCCAUGAUUGAAGGCCGUCUAGGAAGAAAAACAAUCGUUCCUCAUCGGCCAUGUUGGAGAUCGCCAACAUCAGCAUUGAGUACUCUUGGAUAUACUCCUUGAGUGUCCCACGAUGUUUGAGCCAUUGAAGUUGCUUCCGCGCAAGAUAUUCAUCGCGCUCGGGGUAGAACUGCGCGUUCGCGCACAAAGUCCUCUCAAGUGGUAAGUUGAUAGCGACCCUGCUCGGCCUCUGCCGACCGCCGACGCCACCGCAGCAUGGCAUCGUCGAAGAGGUACAUGGCUGCGAUUUAGACUUUAUCCUCCUGGUCCUCCAAUUGCAACCCCUUGAGACAGCGCUCCAUGUGCCAAAGGAAAUUAUCAAUCUCCUUCUCAUCUCGCGUGCCCUUGAGGUGUUGGGGUUCAGGGACGUGGACCUCGAGGUGUGCUUCUUUCGCAUCUUGACAUCGCGAGCCACCACCUUCUCAUGUAUAGUCACUCGCAUCUUGAGGUCCUCGACCUCGUCGACCUUGGUGACAAGGUCCUCGACCAGCACCUUUCGCUCGUCCUUGCGACGGGCGAGGUCGCUACAGAACUACUCGAGCUGAUAGCGAAAAGUCGCCAUGGCAGCCGCUACAUUAUCCUCCAUGGCAUGCAGCCCGUCUUCCAUCAUCCCCACAUGUUGGGACAGGACGAAGUAGUGUUCCAACGGUCUCACAGCAGAGUCCUCCAACGAGCUCACACGGUCUUUGAGUGGCGCGAACUCCUUCGCAAAGGUCUGCGGCUCCUUGCUCUUGCCACACUUGGACACCCUGGGUUCAGGCACAAUGCCAACGAUGGCAACAUUCGACAUAGACAUGGCUUCCCAGCUCUGAACUCACUCUGAUACCAACUGUCACGGACUUAAACAAAAUUGCUUGUCUAGCCUAUGAAGCACUCGCCUUCCUUCGCAAAGUGAGUAAGCUUACCUCUCAACUUGCCAAAUCAGGACCUACUUGCCCUAAGGUUAAGUACAAAAGAGAGAGAGAGUAUGAGGAAUGUUGUUCUAUAUUGAUAAGAGAAAGGAUUACAAUUGAUUUUCUAAGAAGAGGGGUGUCACAACCUUAUGUAGGCCACUCAUCACCCACUCAUUGCCCUGCAUCCGCACCAUUAGUCUUGAAACGCAUAUAGAAGUUUCUAGAAUGCCCCAGCAAAACCGACAAAACUCCCUUUUGGAGAUUGGGCGAUUGCAAUGGAGAAAUUAGUGGAAAACACUAUGUCCGUAACAUUCUGCUUUAAAAAAAAAAAAUCAUAAAAUCAAUUCAUACUAUCAUAGUAAAGGCUAAAAGUACUGUUUGAAUUGCGCGGUUUAAAAAAGCAUUAACAACUCUUUAAUUAUAAUCUCCUAAUAUCCUGUCAAUGAAUUACAGCAUUUGCUUUUUGAAGAUCAGAAACUCAUUUCACUUGUAAUGAUAAAAGCUAAAGGAGCGUUUUAAUACAACUGUUUGAAGACAUAAUUUUUUACUUACAAUCUCCACAGAGCAUCCUACAAGAAAGAGCACAAGUAAACGCAAAUAAGAUAAGAAGUUAAAAAUAUAACAAAAGAGACCUUAAUAAAUAAAACAAGAAAGAGACAAAGGCAAUACCUUGACCUAGGUCUCUGUUUCUAGAGGGGACUUUUGGCUAACGAGAAAUUGUUUUUCUAAUAUCCCCUUUCCUGUUGCUAAUUACUCCACCAACCAAAUCGUCAUCAUCUUCAUCAUCUGAUGUGGCUUUAUAAAUUUUUCUUUGUAGAACACAUCAGCAUAGGUUAAUCCAGUCUCCAAAACUAUGUGGAAACCAAAAAAAGAAGGAUCUAUAAAGGUUUACUUCAAAUAUAGUACCUCAAUUAUGACCAUUUUAAUUUCCAGCUCAUACCUUCGACUGUAACAGUUUAGUCCCUAAAGUUUGUAUCGAAUAACAAUCAAUCCCUAAAGUUUGUAUAGAACCCUCUAAAGAAGGCAUAUCAUAGCAGCACCAUUGUUAGAAUAUCCUUUCAACUAAAAACUCUAAAAGUCUACCUCAUUUUUCACGAAGUAAAUUUUAUAAAAAGCUGAAACUUUGAGUUAGUUAAUUGAAUCAAAUGAAAUGUAAGGAGAAAAUUGUUAUGAUGGAACCUUAGGACAAAAGAAAUUCAUAUCAAGAUUUAUGGAAUAGAUGUAAUUGACGUAACCAACCAUUAAGUGACAAACCAUCCUCAUCUAUAAUGCAAUUCACUACAGAAACAAGCAAUCCAAGGGCUGCAGUAGAUAAGAUCAACAAAAACCAUUUCUGCUGCUGGGUUAAUUUGUGUCUUAUUUCAUUGGUGGAAAACCUGGUAACUAAUUCAUUACUUUUGCUUUUUUUAAAAAAAAGAACAUUUGAGCCCCCACAAGCCAGUCGUUUUAACUUGAGAUGAAAUUUUUGCUUCUGACAAAAGGAAAAUAAUUUGGAUUACACACAAAGGGUGAAGGAUGGUAGUAGCAGUCCAUAUCAAUAAUAGAGUGGCAAACUUGUAACUUCACAAGAAAAAGGAGGGAAGCUGUGGAGCCCACCAAUACAAGCAUGCAAACCAAUGAGAAGCACCAUCAUGUGCUUACAUUGAACCAGAUUGGCUUUUAUUUGUCAGCUAAUGCUUAUUUCUAACAUUCAUUAUUCAGUGAUCUACUGUUGUACAAACAUUUACUUACCACCUAAUUCUCAGAUUAUUAAAAAGGAUACAAAUCUCAUCAACUAUAGCCACAUUAGUAUAAAGCUAACACACACCAAAAAGUAUGAGGCAUAAAGAGUAGGCUCUUUUGAAGCAACCACCUCUCCUCCUCUUUUUUUUCUCAGAAAGAGGCUUCUUUUGGGAAUCUGGAGAAAUGGCUGCCGAAGCAGAAAUGGAGGAGAAGGUGAGAGAAAUUUUUCUUUACUUUAUUAUUUCCUUCUUUAACGCAUCCUUCCAUGCAAAGAAACACAUUAUGCUAUUUAAAACACACUUGGAUAAUUUUAGUUUUAGAACUUCAGCUGCACAGUGAGUGUUUCCUGGUGAAUAAACUGAGGAUUCUGUCGAUUAUGUGGAUCAUGUGAUAAAAAGCAUUUAUUUGAUUAUAUUUCUUUGAUCGUACCCCUUGAUCUGAAAGAUUCAUAGCAACAUUAUAUGAGUACAGAAAGGAAAUAGGAAAUUUAUUUGUUUGAUUUGUGCUGAUUAGCUGGUUAUCAUUAUAUGGUUGAUCUGAUUUAUACCAGUUUGAAAAUUAGGCAGAGUUUAAUUUAUGUUAUUUCAUAUAAUGAUCAUAACUUACGCUUUUAAAAGAUGUUAUUUCUGACUCUGUUAUAGUACAAUAUAAUCAUGAUUUUGAUAGAAUUAGAGUAUCCAGAUGGUUAUUAAUCAACAAUAUGUUCUUUGAAUAUUCAGAUAAGAAAACGCAAUACUAUGUUUAGGCAUAUGGUUUUAACAAUGAGACCAGUAAAUAACAGUAGUUAAAUCGGCAUCAAAAAUAGAUUAGUACUAAAGUAAAAGAUAAUAUACUAACUACAUAGAGACAUUUGUUUUUGAAAUUACUUUCUGAGUCUUCAGGCUGUAAAUAUUGGCUCCUUUAUCAUCAAAACAAGCUGGUUGAUUCUGCAUAGGUUUUUUUCACAAAUAAUAAAGAAAAAAAUAAUAAAUAACCUGGAGAAAAGCACUUAUAUGAUGCAUGUAUCCACAUAAAAAAGAAAUAAAGAGACAAAAAGAGAGUAAACUAUUGUGAGUGAUCACUUAAUUAGCGUUAUAAAUCUCUAUGCAAUAUAAUAAGCCUAUUAUCAUUAAAAGUAAGCAAUUUGUUAAAUGGUUUUCUUGGUCCUACCUUGUAAAGCAAGAUAAUAAUUUAUACUGUCUCAACUACCUGAGGUCUUUUUCCUUUCUUUUUUUUUUUUUUUUUCUUCUUUUCCUUUUCGAGUGAAAAUUAUUUGAGGUCAAUAAUAGUCUCAUGCCACAUACAAGUGCUGGGGUAGUAUAUCACUAUAAAUAAUGCAUAAGCCAUCAAUUUUUUUGUUUCUUGACAAGUGUCUUUCCAUCAUUAUGUGAUUCAAUGAUGGGAAUUUUCAUUGAAUACUCUAAAUAAGAAUAGAAAGGAUUAAAGUAAAGAUAGAUUAUUUUUCCAUAUAUCCACGAGUUCUAUCGAUCAACACUGAACUAGCUUCCAUUGCAUGCCGAGACAGCAUCUUGCCUGCUAAAUCUUAAGUUUCAUUCCGAACAAAAUACAUCAAAUGAAUUGUCUCAUAAACUCAAAAUAAAAUGCAGUAUGCACUACAUUAUAGUUAUAAAGAUAUUUUAUGUUCAAGGAUUCAAUUUCCUGUCCUACACAGUCCAAAUUCACCAUAAUACACAAACAAAUUUAGUGGCAUAUUUGAAAAAAAAAAAAAAAUGAAAUCAAGUGUUCCUGACUGAUCUGCCUUGCAGAAUUCAGAAACGAUUGGGCAAAAUCAAACACAUGGUGACGCCGAUGCGAUAGAGCAAAACAGUGUUCUAAAUGAGAAAAUUAAAGAUGAUGCACCAAGUUCAGUUAUUGAAGGAAAAUUGAGUGCUUCUGAGGGUGAAGUUUUUAUUGAAGCACCUUCUGAAGAUAAGCUGACUUCGGAACAGAUGUUCAUUGAUGAAGGAACCACAGCCAAAGAAAAGGUUCUAGAGUGCAGGACACAUUUUAAGAUUGAUGAGAAAGAUGAAUUUGAGGAGGCCGAAGAUGAAGCUCUAAAAUCACAGUUGGUACCAAAUGCGAAUUUAAUAAAUGAUCUGCCCACUGAACAGACUACCGAUGAAAGCAGCAAAAUGGAUGAAACUGAUGUGUUAGAGAGCCCAGAGGAGAGAGAUUUGGGAAAAGGUAGUGAUGAGUACGAAAGCUCAGAAAACUUACCUAUAUUGGAAGUGAAAGAAAAAUAUCCUCAGAAUGAUGGAGAGAACACAAAAAAGAAAGCUGAAGAACAACAAAGUAGCAAAGAUCUAGGUUUAAUUGUACAUGGAAAAGAUAAAGAAGACAAGAUUACAGAGUCGUUUCAUGAAACACCUACAGAACAGCAAACUGAUGAUAGCAAAAUUGAUACUUUUUCGGACGCACAGUUAACUAAUGAGACACAGUCAGUGUAUGAGAAAAAGGAGACUGAGGAAACAGCAGAAAUAUCAGCAGCUCUGCUGAAUAAAGGGCAUCACUACGAAAUUAGCGCCGAUCAGGGUGGAGUAGAAUUUAAAAUAACAACAUCAAAUGAAGAAGAGAUUCAACACAAUGAGUAUAGAGAACAGCAAUCUGAAGUCAAAAACAGCACAGACUGCAUGAAUCCUGAGAAAGCUUCUGUAGAUGAGAAUUCGAAAGCAAUACAGGCUAUUGACUCAACCAAUAUAAAAUCAGAUGAUUCAGAAAAAGACCAAGCGCAAGCACAUAUAUUAGCGAAGAGUGAAGAGUAUAGUGAUGCAGUAACGACAGAAGCGACUGUGUGUCUGGAAAAACUACAAGAUAAGCCGGAAGAAUCUACAGUUGAAGAUACUUUGCUUUCAGAAACCAAGGAAGUUGAUGGAGCUGGAGAGACUAAAAAACUUAACAAAGAAAUGAUAGACACAGAAGGACGAGGUGUUAGCUUGGAAGAAGCUUCUCAUGAUGCCAGUCUGGAUGUGCCAAAUGAACAAGACCAUGGAUAUCAGGUAUUUAUGUCCUACAUGUUAAAAGGUUUCAGCAAAGAAAAUAAGUUUUCUUAUCUUCUGUUACUUUCUCCUACUGGGCUUUUGCUAGGCUUCUAGCCAAAUUAGCAAGCAUAAUGAUUUCCUAAAUACCUUACCUUAAAUGAGUAAUCACAUAAAUAAGUUCCUCUCUGUAAGCCUUCAAAGUAAAUUUGAAAUGUGUAAAAUUUCUAAUUUAUAAAAUGUUUACACUUCUAUUUUCCUGAUAUAAUUUGAAAAUGUGUGCAGACCACAGCCCCAGAUGGAUUGAGUGAAGAGGUGGGCUUCACAAGUGAAAAGGAUGAAAACAUGUGCAAGAAAGAUGAUUGUGCUGGAGAGACCGCUCAAGAUUUUCCGGAGGAAACUACUCACAGAGCAGGGAAGGAUGGAGAGGAAACAGAUGCAAAGAAUAUUGGAAGUGAAGGCAAUGAUAGAGAUGUAAAAGGAAUUCCUGAUGCGGCAUCUGAGGAAGAUAAUAAUGCAAAGACACCAGAUAAUACAAUCACAAAAGAAAUUACAAUAGCAGCAGAACAAGAAGAUGAGGCGAGGAAAAAAGUGAGUUCAAACAACGAGGAAACAGAAGGUGAAAAGGUAUCAACAUAUCAACUAUGCCCUUAUCAACUUUCUUUAGUCUUUUUAAGCAUUUGCUAGUAAAUAAUUUGUUGGUACGUGUAUAGGAAUAAGGACUGAAUAGGAAAGUUGAGCAAUGAAUAUACAGAUAUAAGUCAUAUCUGUUUUUCCAUCAUGCCUAAUUUUCUGUUGUGCUUGUUACCAUUAGCUUUAUUUUUCAAUCAAACCAUUUUAUUAACUUUUUACAAUUUCAUUUAAGCAGAUAUCUAGUGUUAAAGGUGAAAGUGAACCCACAGAGGUGGAGGAUGAAUAUGUAAGAAACACUGUUGGUGAUGCCUCUGAUAAAGGAAAGCCAACUGGGAAGCCUGCAGACGUAGAUGAUGUGGUAGAUGAUGUGCACGAAGAAACCAUAGGACAUACAUGUGACGAACAACAUCAAGAAAAUGUUGAGAGCAACGAAAAAAACGAGGAUGGUGAACAGAGAGAAGAGGAACAUCAAACUCUUCAACAAGAGGAAUUGGUUUCUGAAGUUGAAAAUCAAGAGACAACUUCCACAACAGGAGCAAACAAGAUGGAGAUCUCGAAAGAAGGCGAAAACCUCAUUAAUACGGUAACCUGCUUUAUUCAAUUACAUAGUAUGUUAAAUUCCUUGGGACCUAUCUGGAAGCUAAAAUAACUUACCUAGCAUAUCUCCUCUUACUGACUCGAGAACCCUUUAUUUCUUGAUUGUUAAGCAGCACAAAAUUAUGUCUAAACAAAGAGCAAAAAAGUAAGCAAACUUAUUUAAGGAUAUGAUAACUCACCUUGUAGGUGAAGCAUACUAGUUUAUAUCAUCAUGGCUUUUAAAGGGAAUUGUCUAAAGUGAAACUCUUUUCUCAUAAUCACUAAUUGUUACCUCCAUCCAAAACUAGUUAUCUACACAAACAUUAAGGGUUUGUAUGUUGUGCAGUUGUACAGAUUUUUCACACUCCCUAUCAACCAUUACCACAUGCACCUUGAGCAAACAGUAAGUCAUCUGCUGAACAAGAUACUCGUGCAUCUAAAUAGGCCAUAUAGAUUUUGCAUUGAAAGACAAUACAAUAAUUCUAGCCUGUAAACUCUUUUCUGAAACUUGUCUUUUAUUAAACUUCUGAUUUACCAACUAUGGGCAGAUUUCUGAGUCAGUAAAUCUGGAGGAAACUAAAAUUGAACAUGGGAAGGAUGACAAGAAGAUCAAGGAGAGUGUUGAAGAUAAUCCCCGAGAUCAUGCCUUGCCUUCACAAACAAUACAUGAUGUAGCAGACGCAGACCACGCAGAAGCAAAUCAAAGUUUGGAGGGGAAGGACGACAAUAUUGCGAGUCUUGAGAAAGAAAGUAUCAAAAGCAAGGGACCUGAUGAGGUUCACCCCAGUGAAUCAGAAACACAUCAGAGUUUGGUGGACAAAGACAACAAUAUUGUAAGUCUUGAAAAAGAAAGCAUUGAAAGCAAAGGGCCUGAUGAGGUUCAACUCGGUGAAUCAGAAGCCACCAAGGUAGACUUUCUUUUGAAUUCUUCAAAACUUUAUGUAUUUAAUUUAACUAUUCAAUUUGCUUUCCUUGAACUCACUGUUUUUCCAACAUGCCUCCUCAUCUCAAGUUUGACUUGUGAAAAAUUUGAUCAACCAGGUUGCUGAAAUUGUUAGCACAACUGAUGAGGCUGAAACUACGUCUGUAGACGGAGGGGAAAGUGUUGAUGUCGACAAAGAUAAGGCAGAGUAUCAAGAGCACAAAAAUGUUAGAGGGUCAGUGAUGGAGGAAUAUAAUCAAGGGGAAGCAAAUGAAACACAAAUGGCCAAGAGCCAUGAGGUAAUAAUUGAUUCAAUGCCACGUAUGGUUUCUUACUAAGUCCAAAAUUCGUAUAUUUUACUGCAUGGCCAGAAGUAUAGAAACGAUUGAACUAAUAAUUCUUAACUUCUCCUCUAAAACCCUCAUUUCAAUAUAACAUUAAUUGUUGUCCUAUCUUGAUCAGAUCCCUGAAAUGGAUGAUCUAAGCCCUGAAAAGGCUUCGGAGACAAAUAAAUCGGUGAUGAAAGAUAUACAUGACAAAACUAAAACAAAGCAUGAAGAGCCAGAUUUUGCAAGUAACAAGCCAAUUAAUCAGACUAACAUGCCUGAACAAAGUCGAAUUCCUGAAGAAGAAAAUACUAUCAUGGAAAGCAAAACGGAGUCAAGCUUCCCAAAGGAUGCAAUUGAAAAUGCCCUGAAAUCAGACCCUGAUGAGAAAGAUGAGGAAAUGCUAAAGAAUGAGGAAUCCUCACAUAUUUUCCCAGAGUCCUCUCCCAACGUUGAUCAUAAAAUUGCUAGGGGAUUAUCUCAUCAAGAUGAAGGGAACAAGAUAUGUGAGGAUGCAGCACUAGAAACCCCAUCUGGCAAUCAAAGCCGUGAAGCAGAUGAGGAGCAAAUAGAAAUUGGGAAACCUAAAAAGCUGAACGAACUUAAACAAGAUAUUCCUAUGAAGUACUUUGAUGCUGUAAACAGUCAAGAAGAGACGAUACAUAAAGAAAAUCCUGAUAAUGUGGAAGAGAGCGAGAAGUGUGAAGUAAAGGAUGAAACUGCUUUAACACUCGAGCGAGCAUCUGCAGCGGACUCUGAAGAGCCCAGUCAUUGGCUGUUUAGCAGUUGUGAGAAGGUAUCCAAGUCUUAACCCAUACAAAAAUUUCAACAUUCUUUAUCCUUAUUUAUGAAUUGUUAAUGAAUAAACUAUUGACAAAGAAUUUUAAGUUUCUAUCCGCACAAGUUGUGCCCACCAUGCCAUACCAUGCAGACAAUAUAUCAGCAUGAUACCACCCGCAUGCCGAUGGCACAACUCAAAAUCAUUUUUUUUUCAAAAAUUAACAAGUAGCUACAUUAAUCAAAUACCAAAGAAUAUAGUUGUGCCAAAAGAAAAUAUAUGUUUUCAUAGUUGGAUAAAUUGAGUAGAAAAAGUAUAUGAAGCAGAAAGAUGAAAAAGUCUUUGAGUGUAGCAAUGCCACUCUCCUUAAAGCUAAAUCGUCCCCACCAUUCUCGUAAUUUGGUGUGCACUGGGUUAACAAAUAGCUUCUCAGGAUACAAUGAAAUAUAAACCUCAACUUCGUUUGCACACGUGAAGUCGAGCCUUUGAGCACUCACUCGAUUAAAUUGUCAAAAAGAAAAUAGAAUAAGAAACAAGAAAUUAUUAUAGAUAGAGACUUAAACUUUCCAACUGUCCUUCAGCAGUCAACGUUAUGGACUUAUAUGGACCACGAACAGGUGCUUUAUGAAGUGACAAUUCAUGAACGGGUGCUUCAUGAAGUGACUUUUCCUUUGAUCAUAACUAUCAAUUAGUUAUAUGAGUCAAGUUCAAUGAAUGUAAGAAUUAAUUUCAACGGACAUCCAUGAAAGGACACACUAAAAAGUUGUCUUUCUAUGUCUUAUCCUUUCAAUAAAAAUCACAUCCUUUCAUAUUCAUUCACCAAGAGUUACGACCUUUGAUUAGAGUCACAUCUACUCACUAAGAGUCGCAUUUGUACUAAGGGUUGCAUCCAUUCACUAAAACUCAAAGGACAAAAUAAAUAUAUAUUUUAAAAAUUUCCUUACAUUCAUGCCACAAUGUAUUGGCACAUAGAUAUCGUGCCAACAGCAUAGAUUGACACGGCAUAGCACGAUGGUGUGCCAUGCCACACCGUUGCUUAGCAUGAACCUGCAACUGACUAAGUGCAAAAUGUAGAUCAGAAGAUGAAAGAUGGGCAACCAAAAAAAAAAAGAGAAAGUAAGAUUUGUAGUUUCUGCAAGGGGCAUUUUAGCCAACUAAUCUCAUCCAAACUUUAUAUUCUAAAAAUAGGCCUACGAAAAUCGUAUUUACGGAAAUAGGCACGAAACUGCCACGUAAGCAGUGAGAUAGCGGAGGAAGAUAGAAGCCGUGAACCAAGUACCACUUUCAAGUGAAGACGGUAAAUGAUUCACCGCUUUCAUAAAAUUUUAAAAAUCCUAUGAAGGCGGUGAAUGGUUCACCGCCUUCAUGCAAUUCCCCGCGCAGAAUAUAAUAGUUAUGAACGCGGUGAAUGGUUCACUGCAUAUUAAGGCGGUGAAUCAUUUACCGCUUUUAUAUGCAGUGAUCCAUUCACCGCAUUUAUGAUAACCCCCACCCAGCCAAUUAGUUUGCAGAUUCCCACAUUAUACAAAAUAGCAAUAUUUUCAAGCAUUUCAAUUACAAGAAUAAAUACACAAAAUCAUCUAUAUCAACUUCAACCACACUUUAAGCAUAUAAAAUGAGCCAUACCAAUAUCAAGAUACUUCAAUAUGAAUAAAUUUAGAUAAUACCAUAAAAAAUCAAUGUAGAAAAAAUCAGAAAUAUCAAAUAUACAUGAGAAUCCCAAAAAUGAUAAACAAAAUCAAGUCCCCUCCAUCCCCCUCACAUGCUCUCGCCCUCGUCCCCUGCCACGUCCACGUCUGCGUCCACAACCGCGUCCUCGACUUCGUCCUCGAAUAUGCAUAUCAUGCUCCAUCCCAGGCUGCACGGGCUCAAUGACAUGCAUCUGAUCAAUAUGCUCAAUGGCGAUGCCCUCGACAAUCGGCUCCACCCCUUGCUCAUCAGCCGAUGGUACUGCGUCUCAAUAUGACCCUAUCAUCGUCGCCUACAUCAAUAUACAACAUCAUCGCAAUGAACCUAUGACGUGGAUGAAACGUCAGGAGGGAUAGGCAUGAAUGGAAUAUCAAAAUAGGAUACCUCUGACGUAGAUGGAAUAUCAAAUGGAGGGAUGGAUGCCGACGAAAUAUCAAACUCCACUUCUGAUGUCGAAGGGAUAUCAGAUGUCGAAGGGACAUCAGAUGGAUGAAUCGGGACAGAUGUCGAUAGAAAAUCAUAUGUAGGCAUGGAGGUGGAGGGAAUAUCACCAAAAUCAUAUACAGGCAUGGAGGUGGAGGGAAAAUCACUGUAAUCAGCAAAAGCCGGAGAAGGAAUAUCCGGAUGCCCUGUCACGGGAAAAGGGCCACCAACAACUACAUUCGAAAAUUCGUACUCCCUACAAUUGAUAGAAGAAGGCAAUCUAAAAUAAUUAUACAAUUGUUAUAUUAAAAUAAUUAUACAAAAGUCAUAUUUUGCAAUACUAACCUGGGUGCAUUUGCUCCUCCUCCAAUAUCAGCACGAAAAUGUUCUCUUUCGGGGCCAGGGAAUAAUACAUCCACAUUAAAGUCACUAUUUAACAUUCUAGAAUAAUACCCCUGAGAUAAAACCAUCUGUUUUUCAACGAAGAUUAUCAAACACGGAGGGUUCCCCGACAAUGCCAUCGCACCACACAAUGAGUCAUCAUCCGUAACUUCAACAACAUCGAACUGAUUCAUCCCAGUCGAAUAUCGGACUUUGAUAAUUAGACGAUACUCAUCUCUUGGGGUAUCGGUCAAUCUAUAUAUUUUUCUCUCGAAUUCUGUAAAUGUAAUAUCCACUGGGAUACACACUUAAUUUCUUACGACCGCCAACGUACUGUGGAUUGCUAUCUUGAGUGAAUAGUUCUCCAUUCCAAUGAACAAUAAUAGCCACAUUACUACGCGCCAUCCUAAUUUUUACAAAAUAUAAUAUUUAUAAACUAACAUAAUCGUAGCAAUAUUUGACCAAUUUAUAAUAUCAAUUUGCAAAUGACAUGUGUUCACUACAUCAGAAAAUAAUAAAUUUAUAAUAUUGUAAUAAUUUUAAAAAAAAAUUAUUAAUUUUUAGUAUAAAUUUAUCAAUUUUCAGUAUAUAUGUAUUUACUACACUCAUUUUUCAAAUUUCAUCAUACGAUGAUGCAAAUGUAAGGAAAUUUUUAAAAUAAUAUAUUUUGUUUAUUAAUUUUUAGUGAAUGGAUGCAACCCUUAGUGAGUGGAUGCAACUCUAAUCAAAGGGUGUAACUCUCAGAGUUAAAGGAUGUGACUUUUAGUGAAAGGAUAUGACAUGAAAAGACACAUCUUUAUCGUGUGUCUCUUCGAGUAUAUGUCCGUUGGAAUUAAUUCUUACAUUUAUUGAACUUGACUCAUAUAACUAAUUGGUAGUUAUGGUCAAAUGAAAAGUCACAAUUGAAAGAUCACUUCACGAAAUACCCGUUCAUGAAUAGUCACUUCAUGAAGCACCCGUUCGUGGUCUAUAUAAGUCCACAGCGUUGGUUGCAGAAACGAAAGUAGAAAAAAAAAGGAACAGUUGAAGAGUUUUAAGUCUCCAUUCAUAAUAAUUCCAUUCUUGUUUUCUUAUUCUUUUUGACAACUUAAUCGAGUAAGUGCUCAAAGGCUCGACUUCGUGUGUGCAAACGCAGUUGAGGUUUAUGCUUCAUUGUAUCUUGGGAGGCUGUUCGUUGACCCGGUGCACACCAAAUUGUUAGAACAGUAGUGACGGAUUAAGCCUUAAGGAAAGUGGCAUUGCUACACGCCUUGAAGCCUUUUUUCAUCUUUCUGUUUCAUACCUUUUUCACUAUCUGCUCUUAAAUCCGAAAAUGUCGACUGCUACUCAACGAGAGAUGACAACAAACUUUAUAAGACUAGAAAGAUUUGAUGGCAUGGACUUCAGGCGCUGGCAGAAGAAAUUAUUUUUCCUUCUGUCGACUCUCAAAGUUGCUUAUAUCCUCACUACUCCAAGACCAGAAGAAAACGAUGAUGAACCUAUUGCACAAACUUGUACAAGACAAAAAUGGGAUGAAGAUGACAAUAUAUGCCGAGGCAACAUUGUAAAUGCUAUGUCGGAUGCGCUUUUUGACGUCUAUCAAAAUAUGAAAAUGGCUAAAGAACUGUGGGAAGGUCUUGAAGAAAAAUACAAAUCCGUGGAUGCCACAAGUAAGAAGUUUCUUGUUAGCAAAUUUAAUAACUAUAAAAUGGUUGAUAGUAGAUAUGUUCUUGAUCAAUUACAUGAAAUUCAACAUAUUCUCAAUCAACUUACUCAACAUAAUAUGAAUAUGGAUGAAUCUAUAAUUGUGGCCUCUAUUAUCGAUAAACUUCCUCCAUCAUGGAAAGACUUUAAGAAAAGUCUUAAGCAUAAAAAGGAAGAGAUUACUCUUAAAGAUUUGGCUAACCAUCUUCGCAUAGAAGAAUAUCGUUUGCAUGAUGGCAAAAAGGAGCAAGAUGCUCGGAGUGUCAAAGUGUAUGUGACGGAAGAUGAGUAUAAUAAAACCCGUCAACCCAUAAAAGAAAAUCGAAAGAGAGCCAAACAUCCGAUCAACCACAACAUGACAAAUAAGAAAAAGAAAGAUGCAUGCUUUCAUUGUGGUAAACCGGGUCACUACAAGAAAGAAUGUCGGUUCCUCGAAAGGGAAAGUGCACCGGAUUCCAAAAGGAAUUUUGUGGCUAUGAUAUCCGAGGCUAACAUACUCGAAGAUGACGGAGUUUGGUGGAUUGAUUCAGGUUCCACAAGACGUGUGCAAGGAUAGAAGUUUAUUUAGAACUUAUGAUGCAUUGGAGGAUGGAAAUGUUCUCUAUGUGGGCAAUUCUUCAACAGCACAAAUCAAAGUAAAGAACACUCCAAUGAGAAAACUGAUGUUGUAAUUGAAACCCCAAAACUUAGAAGAAGUAAAAGAGUUAGAAUUGCUAAAACAUUUGGACCGGAUUUUUAUACUUUUCUUGUUGAGGGUAGUAGAGAAAUGAUUACAGAAAGUUUUCAAUUUUGUUUAAACAUUGACUCAGACCCCUAAACAUUGACUCAGACCCCACAACAUUUGAGGAGGCAAUGAAAUCUCCUGAUGUCACUUUUUGGAAAGAAGCGAUAAAUGAUGAAAUGGACUCAAUUAUGGCCAACCAAACAUGAAAAUUAGUUGAUCUUCCUCAUGGAUGUAAACCUAUUGGGUGUAAAUGGAUUUUCAAAAAAAAAUCAACGUAAAUGGCACCAUAGAUAAAUUCAAGGCAAGACUUGCUGCCAAAGGGUUUACACAAAAAGAAGGCAUUGAUUAUUUUGAUACCUAUGCACCUGUUGCCAGAUUAGCGACCAUUAGAACUUUGAUUGCUCUUGCUUCUAUGUAUAAUUUGAUUAUUCAUCAAAUUGAUGUCAAAGCUGCAUUCUUAAAUGGAGAAUUAGAUGAAAAGUUUAUAUGGAACAGCCCGAGGGCUUUGUUGUUCUUGGACAAGAGCAUAAAGUGUGUAAACUUGUCAUGUCAUUGUAUGGGCUUAAACAAGCACCUAAACAAUGGCAUCAAAAAUUUGAUCAGAUUGUUCUUUCCAAUAGUUAUAAAAUUAAUCAAUCUGAUAAAUGUAUUUAUAGUAAAUUUUCAAAUGGUAAAGGUGUUAUUAUAUGUCUAUAUGUUGAUGACAUGUUAAUUUUUGGCAUCGAUGUUCAGCAAGUAGAAAAUACUAAAAGUUUUUAAUCUUGCAAUUUUGAUAUGAAAGAUAUGGGGGAGGUUGAUAUUAUUUUGGGAAUUAAAAUUAUUCGUGAAAAUAAUGGUUUAUUUUUAACGCAGUCUUAUUAUAUCGAAAAGAUUCUUAGGAAAAAAUUAGUUAUUUUGACUGUACUCCAGUAUCUACUCCUUUUGAUCCUAAUCUAAAAUUAGUUCGCAAUACUGGUAGAUCAAUUAAUCAGUUAGAAUAUUCUAAGAUUAUUGGAAGUUUGAUGUAUGCCAUGUCUUGUACUAGGCCUGAUAUUGCAUUUGCUGUUGGUAAAUUAAGUAGAUUUAUUAGCAAUCCAGGUAAUGUACAUUGGCAUCCUAUUUACAGACUUUUGAAAUAUUUGAAAAAGACUAUGGAAUUUUCUAUAGUGGAUAUCCAACAGUAUUGGAAGGCUAUACAGAUGCCAGUUGGAUAACAAAUCAAGAAGAUCAUGCAUCCACAAGUGGGUAGAUAUUUAUAUUAGGUGGAGGUGCGAUUUCUUGGGGUUCUAAGAAACAAACAUGUAUAGCGGACUCUACCAUGGCAGCAGAAUUUAUAGCACUAGCGUCUGCUAGUAAGGAGGCGAAAUGGAUAAGGAAUUUAUUAUAUGAAAUUCUAGUUUGGCCAAAACCAAUGCCGCCGGUAUCGCUACAUUGCGAUCGUGAGGCUACGCUUUCGAGAGCAUAUAAUCAAACAUACAAUGGGAAGUCAAGACAUAUUGGAUUAAGACAUAGCUAUGUAAAACAACUGAUAUCAGAUGGCAUAAUUACCAUUGAUUUUGUAAGAUCAAACCAAAAUCUUGCGGAUCCGUUGACUAAGGGACUUCCAAGAGAAUUGAUAUUCAAGACAUCAAUGGGGAUGGAUCUCAAGCCCAUAUUACAAAGUCACCAAUGAUAGAAACUCGACUUAACACUUGAAACAUCAUCAAGUCUUAAGUUCAAUGAGCCAAAGUACAUCAUAUGGAGUGAUUGCAAGCACUAUAAUAUAAAAUUUCCAUCCCAAGUGCUUGGUAUCCGUAUUGAAAAGGGAAAGUUGAACUAAUAAAGUUCUUAAUAGACCUACAGUAGUAUUUACUGAAGUGUUAAAUACGGGACACUUCUGGUAGAGUCUACCUAUAUGAAUGUGAAGUGUGGCCGCUUCUAGGAGUUAAGGGCUUGACUCUAACAGCAUUCAUGAAACAGGAUGCGGACACAAGGCCAUAAAAGUGUCAGCAAUAAAAUAGAGCACUCGAUUGAUUAUAAAUUCCUAUGUGUGAGAUAUGUUCGGUUAGUCAAAAAAUAAUUGUUGGUUCAAAGCUUGUCUACCAUUCAAUUAUGUCUAACUUUGAUGAGUUUUCACUAAGUGUAGGUUCAAGUUUUAAUACAACUACACCUAUGCAUACGAUUUUGUCAAGUUGUCAAGAAUUUUGAUUUUUGAUUUUUGAUUUUUGAUUUUUGAUUUUGUUUUAUUUUGUAUUUUGAUGUAUUUUUAUGUAUUUUAAAAAUUGGUAGGGAAUUGUAAGGAAAUUUUUAAAAUAAUAUAUUUUUUUUAUUGAUUUUUAGUGAAUGGAUGCAACCCUUAGUGAGUGGAUGCAACUCUAAUCAAAGGAUGUGACUUUUAGUAAAAGGAUAUGACAUGAAAAGACACAUCUUUAUAGUGUGUCUCUUCGAGUAUAUGUCCGUUGGAAUUAAUUCUUACAUUCAUUGAACUUGACUCAUAUAACUAUUUGGUAGUUAUGGUCAAAUGAAAAGUCACAAUUGAAAGGUCACGUCACGAAAUACCCGUUCGUGGUCUAUAUAAGUCCACAGCGUUGGUUGCAGAAACGAAAGUAGAAAAAAAAAGAAACAGUUGAAGAGUUUAAAUCUCCAUUCAUAAUAAUUUCAUUCUUGUUUUCUUAUUCUUUUUGACAACUUAAUCAAGUGAGAGCUCAAAGGCUCGACUUCGUGUGUGCAAACGCAGUUGAAGUUUAUGCUUCAUUGUAUCCUGGGAGGCUGUUCGUUGACCCGGUGCACACCAAAUUGUUAGAACGGUAGGGAUGGAUUAAGCCUUAAGGAAAGUGGCAUUGCUACACGCCUUGAAGCCUUUUUUCAUCUUUCUAUUUCAUACCUUUUUCACUAUCUGCUCCAACAGCAAAUAGGGUUUAAAAUGUGACCUAAAGUGUGCAUGCUACCAAAUAUAGACAAAAUAUAACUGACAAAAUACAACAAGUUAUAUUGAAAGAACACAAUAAUCUACAAACAAUCAACUGUACUACAAAACCCACUACAACUUUUUUCAAAAAUCUAACCUCUAACCUAAUGAGGACAAUGUGGAUGCAAUGCUGAGGAGAGAGGGUGCGGUGGCGGCCUUGACGGUGGCAGCAGCAGCAGAGUCUUCGGUGCCGGCGACGGCGGCGUCGAAGUCGUCGGGUUCGGGCGGAGUGAGAGAGACAGAGAGGAAAUCGGGGAGAGGAGUAAGGGAGAAAGGAGAAGAGUUCGGGCGGAGUGAGGGAGACAGAGAGGAGAUCGGGGAGAGGAGUGAGGGAGAAAGGAGAAGGGUUCGGGCGGGGUCUAGGGUAUUCUAAUUAAAUGUGGUGAACUGUUCACUGCAUAUAAAAGCGGUAAACGGUUUACCGUAUUUAAAGACGAUGAAUGGUUCACCGCUUUUAAAUGCGGUGAAUAGUUAACCGUCUUUAAAAGUGGUAAACUGUUCACCACCUUUAAAGGAACGCGGUAAACCGUAUUCUUAAUUUUUCACACUAAUUCCCCACACCUGCCAGAGGCCCACAAAUGCGGUGAAUGGUUCACCGCAUAAGUAAAUGCGAUGAACCAUUCACCGCAUAUAAAGAUUUUACUCCGAGGAACUGACCUGGCCUAUUUGAGGCCUACUUUUACAAUAAAAUUUAGAGGACAAUUUUUAGAAAAAAAAUUUUAAGAUUAUUUAUAAAAAAAAUUCGUUUCUGCAACAUAGUACAUUUAUACUGUGCUAUUAAUAAGGUCACAUUUUCUAUUGAGACAUUAUUAUACUGCUGGAACGAAACAUCUAGUGAAUUAUUUAGUCUUCAAACAGAUAUCUGAUGUCACCAAUCUAGGAGAUGAUUACGAACCUAACUCUACAUGCAAAGAACUGCCUCAUGACAAUAUUAAGCGCAAUGAAAGCAAAGUGGAUGAUGAACAAAGAGGAGAAAUUUCAGAAUCCUUUGGAAUUGGAGGUUACGAAAGGAGGGACAACCUCUAAAGCCGAAAGCACCAAGGUGAAACACUAAAAAGAACGCAAAAACAUCACAAAUAUGGCCAUCUCCUUUAUCCAGUGUCCUACAUAGCAAAUUCCGAAAUUCCUCUUAUCUCCUCUUAUUUACUCGAGAACUAGUUGAUUGUUAAUAUACAUAAAAAGUUGUAUAAAACCAAAUAAAAAGGAAAAUGUAAUCUUAAUUUUUUAAGGUUAUGAUAAAUCAACUUGUAGGUAAAUAAACUACCUUAAGAAUUCACAACGACCAGCCAAACUAUGAACUUACAAUCACCCAAGAAAACCAUCAUCAAACAAAGGUGGUCUACAUACAACCUUUUGAGACAUCAGGUAGAUGUUUGCAUUAAAAAGUUUCCGAAAAGAAAAUAAGUUUUCUUAUCCGCUAUAACUUUCUCCUACUAGGCUUUUGUUAGGCUUCUCGCUAUAUUAGCAAGCAAAAUGAUAUCCUAAAUACUUUACCUUAAAUAAGGAAAAUCACAUAAAUAUGUUCCUCUCUAUAAACCAUAAAAGUAAAUUUGAAAUGUGUAAAAUUUCUAAUUUAAAAAUUUUUACAUUUCUAUUUUCCUGAUAUAAUUUGAAAUGUGUGCAGGCCACAGCCUCAGACGGAUUGAGUGAAGAGGCGGACUUUGCAAGUGAAAAGGAUGAAAACAUGUGCAAGAAAGAUGAUUGUGCUAGAGAGACCGCUCAAGAUUUUCUGGAGGAAACUACUCAUAGAGCUUGGAAGGGCGGAGAGGAAACAGAUGCAAAGAAUAUUGGAAGUGAAGACAAUGAUAGAGAUGUAAAAGGAAUCCCUGAUGUGGCACCUCAGGGAGAUUAUAAUACAAAGACACCAGAUAAUACAUACACAAAAGAAAUUAUGAUAGCAAUAGAACAAGAAGAUGAGGCAAGGACACAAGUGAGAUCAGACAAUGAGGAAACAGAAGGUGAAAAGGUAUCAACAUAUCAACUCUGCCCUUUUCAACUUUUGUAGUCUUUUUAAGCAUUUGCUAAUUACUAAACUGUUGACACGUGUAACGAAUUAGGACUGAAGAGGAAACUUGAGCAAUGAUUAUAUGAUUAUAUAGAUAUAAGCCAUAUCUGUUGUUUCCGUGAUACUGUAUUUUCUUUUGUGCUAGUUACCAUUAGCUUUAUUUUUUUAUCAAACCAUUUUAUUAACUUCUUACAAUUUCAUUUAAGCAGAUAUCUAGUGUCAAAGGUGACAGUGAACCCACAAAGGUGGAGAAUGAAUACAUAAGCAACACUGUUGGUGAUGCCUCUGAUACAGGAGAGCCAACUGGGAAGCCUGCAGACGUAGAUGAUGUGGUAGACGAUGUGCAGGAAGAAACCAUAGGAUCUACAUGUGACGAACAACAUCAGGAAAAUAUUGAGAGCAACGAAAAAAACGAGGAUGGUGAACAGAGAGAAGACAAACAUCAAACUCUUCAACAAGAGGAAUUAGUUUCUGAAGUUGAAAAUCAAGAGACAACCUCCACAACAGGCGCUAAAAAGAUGGAGAUCUCAAAAGAAGGCGAAAACCUCAUUAAUAUGGUAACCUGCUUUAUUCAAUUGCAUAGUAUGUUAAAUUCCUUGGGACCUUUCUGGAAGCUAAAAUAACUUACCCAGCAUAUCUUCUCUUACUGACUCGAGAACUAUUUAUUUCUUGAUUGUUAAGGAGAACAAAAUUAUGUCUAAACCGAAGAGCAAAAAAAGUAAGCAAACUUAUUUUUAAGGAUAUGAUAAAUCACCUUGUAGGUGAACUGGUGAAGCAUAUUAGUUUAUAUCAUCAUGGCGGAAAAUUGUCUAAAGUCAAAGUCUGUUCUCAUAAUCACUAAUUGUUACCUCCAUCCAAUACUAGUUAUCUACACAUACAUUAAGGGUUUGUAUAUUGCGCAGUUGUAGAGAUUUUUUACACUCCCUAUCAACCAUUACCACAUGCACCUUGAGCAAACAGAAAGUCAUCAGCUGAACAAGAUACUCGUGCGUCUAAGAUUCUAAAUAGGCCAUAUAGAUUUUGCAUUGAAAGACAAUACAAUAAUUCUAGCCUGUCAACUAUUUUUGAAACUUGUCUUUUAUUAAACCUCUAAUUUACCUACUGUGGGCAGAUUUCUGAAUCAGUAAAUCUGGAGGAAACUAAAAUUGAAAAUGACACGGAUGAUGAGAAGAUCAAGGAGAGCGUUGAAGAUAAUCCCCGAGAUCAUGCCUUGCUUUCACAAACAAGACAUGAUGUAGCAGACGAAGACCACACAAAAGCAGAUCAAAGUUUGGAAGGGAAGGACGGUAAUAUUGUAAGUCUUGAGAAAGAAAGUAUCAAAAGCAAGGGACCUGAUGAGGUUCACCCCAGUGAAUCAGAAGCACAUCAGCGUUUGGUGGACAAAGACAACAAUAUUGUAAGUCUUGAAAAAGAAAGCAUUGAAAGCAAAGGGCCUGAUGAGGUUCAACCCGGUGAAUCAGAAGCCACCAAGGUAGACUUUCUUUUGAAUUCUUCAAAACUUUAUGUAUUUAAUUUAACUAUUCAAUUUGCUUUCCUUAAACUCUCUGUUUUUCCAACAUGCCUCCUCAUCUCAAGUUUGACUUGUGAAAAUUUUGAUCAAGCAGGUUGCUGAAAUUGUUAGCACAACUGACGAAGCUGAAACUACGUCUGUAGAUGGAGGGGAAAGUGUUGAUGUUGACAAAGAUAAGGCAGAGUAUCAAGAGCACAAAAACGUUAUAGAGUCAGUGAUGGAGGAAUAUAAUAAAGGGGGAGCAAAUGAAACACAAAUGGCCAAGAGCCACCAGGUAAUAAUUGAUUCAAUGCCACGUAUGGUUUCGUACUAAGUCCAAAAUUCGUAUAUUUUACUGCAUGGCCAGAAGUAUAGAAACGAUUGAACUAAUAAUUCUUAGCUUCUCCUCUAAAACCCCCAUUUCUAUAUAACAUUAAUUGUUGUCCUAUCUUGAUCAGAUUCCUGAAAUGGAUGAUCUAAGCCCUGAAAAGGCUUCGGAGACAAAUGAAUCGGUGAUGAAAGAUAUGCAUGACAAAACUAAAACAAAGCAUGAAGAAGAGCCAGAUUUUGCAAGUAACAAGCCAAUUAAUCAGACUACCAUGCCUGAACAAAGUCGAAUUCCUGAAGAAGAAAAUACUAUCAUGGAAAGCAAAACAGAGUCAAGCUUCCCAAAGGAUGCAAUUGAAAAUGCCCUGAAAUCAGACCCUGAAGAGAAGGAUGAGGAAAUGCUAAAGAAUGACGAGUCCUCACAUAUUUUCCCAGAGUCCUCUCCCGACGCUGAUCAUAACAUUGCUGAGGGAUUAUGUCAUCAAGAUGAAGGGAACAAGAUAUAUGAGGAUGCAGCACCAGAAACUGCAUUCGGCAAUCAAAGCUGUGAAGCAAAUGAGGAGCAAAGAGAAACAGAGAAAAAAGAUAUGCCUAUGAAGUACAUUGACACUGUAAACAGUCAAGAAGAGACGAUACAUAAAGAAGAUUCUGAUAAUGUGGAAGAGAGCGAGAAGUGUGCAGGAGAGGAUGGAACCGCUUUAACACUUGAGCGAGCAUCUGCAGCAAAGGAUGAUGAACAAAGAGAAGAGAAAUUUCAAAAUCCUCAUGACAUAGAAUCAGAAAUGGACGUUAAGAAAGAAAAGACAACCUCUGAAGCAGAAAGCUCCAAGGUAGCGCACUUUUGGCAAAAACAUCACAAAUAUGUCCAUCUCCUUUAUCCAGUAUCCCACAUAUCAAAUUCCGAAAUUCCUAUUAUCUCCUCUUAUUUAUUCAAGAACUAUUAAGUUAGUUGAUUGUUAAUAUACAUAAAAAGGUGUAUAAAACCAAAUAAAAAGGAAAAUGGAAUCUUAAUUUUUUAAGGUUAUGAUAAAUCAACUUAUAGGUAAAUACACUACCUUAAAAAUUCACAACGACCAGCCAAACUAUGAACUUACAAUCACCCAAGAAAACCAUCAUCAAACAAAGGUGGUCUACAUACAACCUUUUGAGACAUCAGAUAGAUGUUUGCAUUAAAAAGUUUCAGCAAAGAAAAUAAGUUUUCUUAUCUGCUGUUACAUUCUCCUACUAGGCUUUUGUUAGGCUUCUAGCUAUAUUAGCCAGCAUAAUGAUAUCCUAAAUACCUUACCUUAAAUAAGUAAAAUCACAUAAAUAUGUUCCUCCCUAUAAACCUUAAAAGCAAAUUUGAAAUGUGUAAAAUUUCUAAUUUAAAAAUUUUUACAUUUCUAUUUUCCUGAUAUAAUUUGAAUGGUGUGCAGACCACAGCCUCAGACGGAUUGAGUGAAGAGGCGGACUUUGCAAGCGAAAAGGAUGAAAACAUGUGCAAGAAAGGUGAUUGUGCUAGAGAGACCGUUCAAGAUUUUUCGGAGGAAACUACUCAUAGAGCAGGGAAGGGCGGAGAGGAAACAGAUACAAAGAAUAUUGGAGGUGAAGACAAUGAUAGAGAUGUAAAAGGAAUCCCAGAUGUGGCACCUCAGGGAGAUUAUAAUACAAAGACACCAAAUAAUACAUACACAAAAGAAAUUAUGAUAGCAGUAGAACAAGAAGAUGAGGCGAGGACACAAGUGAGUUCAGAUAAUGAAAAAACAGAAGGUGAAAAGGUAUCAACAUAUCAACUCUGCCCUUUUCAACUUUUUUUAGCCUUUUUAAGCAUUUGCUAUUAACUAAACUGUUGAUACGUGUAAGGAAUUAGGGCUAAAGAGGAAACUUGAGCAACGAUUAUAUAAUUAUAUAGAUAUAAGUCAUAUAUGUUGUUUCCGUGAUAUCGUAUUUUCUUUUGUGCUUGCUAUCAUUAGCUUUAUUUUUUGAUCAAACCAUUUUAUUAACUUCUUACAAUUUCAUUUAAGCAGAUAUCCAGUGUCAAAGGUGACAGUGAACCCACAAAGGUGGAGGAUGAAUACAUAAGCAACACUGUUGUUGAUGCCUCUGAUACAGGAGAGCCAACUGGGAAGCCUGCAAACGUAGACGAUGUGGUAGAUGAUGUGCAGGAAGAAACCAUAGGAUCUAUAUGUGAAGAACAACAUCAGGAAAAUGUUGAGAGCAACGAAAAAAAUGAGGAAGGUGAACAGAGAGGAGAGGAACAUCAAACUCUUCAACAAGAGGAAUUAGUUUCUGAAGUUGAAAAUCAAGAGACAACCUCCACAACAGGAGCUAAAAAGAUGGAGAUCUCAAAAGAAGGCGAAAACCUCAUUAAUAUGGUAACCUGCUUUAUUCAAUUGCAUAGUAUGUUAAAUUCCUUGGGACCUAUCUGGAAGCUAAAAUAACUUACCCAGCAUAUCUCCUCUUACUGACUCGAGAACCAUUUAUUUCUUGAUUGUUAAGGAGCACAAAAUUAUGUCUAAACAAAGAGCAAAAAAAGUAAACAAACUUAUUUUUAAGGAUAUGAUAAAUCACCUUGUAGGUGAACUCGUGAAACAUACUAGUUUAUAUCACUAUAGCUUUUAGGGAAUUGUCUAAAGUCAAACUCUUUUCUCAUAAUCACAAAUUGUUACCUCCAUCCAAACUAGUUAUCUACAUAUACAUUAAGGGUCUGUACGUUGCGCAGUUGUAGAGAUUUUUUACACUCCCUAUCAACCAUUACCACAUGCACCUUGAGCAAACAGUAAGUCAUCUGCUAAACAAGAUACUCGUGCAUCUAAAUAGGCCAUAUAGCUUUUGCAUUGAAAGACAAUACAAUAAUUCUAGCCUGUCAACUAUUUUUGAAACUUGUAUUUUAUUAAACUUCUAAUUUACCAACUGUGGGCAGAUUUCUGAAUCAGUAAAUCUGGAGGAAACUAAAAUUGAAAAUGACACGGAUGACGAGAAGAUCAAGGAGAGCAUUGAAGAUAAUCCCCGAGAUCUUGCCUUGCCUUCACAAACAAUCCAUGAUGUAGCAGAUGAAGACCACGCAGAAGCAGUUCAAAGUUUGGAGGGGAAGGACGGCAAUAUUGCAAGUCUUGAGAAAGAAAGUAUCAAAAGCAAGGGACCUGAUGAGGUUCACCCCAGUGAAUCAGAAGCACAUCAAAGUUUGGAGGACAAAGACAACAAUAUUGUAAGUUUUGAAAAAGAAAGCAUUGAAAGCAAAGGUCCUGAUGAGAUUCAACUCAGUGAAUUAGAAGGCACCAAGGUAGACUUUCUUUUGAAUUCUUCAAAACUUUAUGUAUUUAAUUUAACUAUUCAAUUUGCUUUCCUUAAACUCACUGUUUUUCAAACAUGCCUCCUCAUCUCAAGUUUGACUUUGUGAAAAAUUUGAUCAAACAGGUUGCUGAAAUUGUUAGCACAACUGAUGAGGCUGAAACUACGUCUGUAGAUGGAGGGGAAAGUGUUGAUGUUGACAAAGAUAAGGCAGAGUAUCAAGAGCACAAAAACGUUAGAGAGUCAGUGAUGGAGGAAUAUAAUCAAGGGGAAGCAAAUGAAACACAAAUGGCCAAGAGCCACAAGGUAAUAAUUGAUUCAAUGCCACGUAUGGUUUCUUACUAAGUCCAAAAUUCGUAUAUUUUACUGCGUGGCCAGAAGUAUAGAAACGAUUGAACUAAUAAUUCUUAACUUCUCCUCUAAAACCCCUAUUUCAAUAUAACAUUAAUUGUUGUCCUAUCUUGAUCAGAUUCCUGAAAUGGAUGAUCUAAGCCCUGAAAAGGCUUCGGAGACAAAUGAAUCGGUGAUGAAAGAUAUGCAUGACAAAACUAAAACAAAGCAUGAAGAAGAGCCAGAUUUUGCAAGUAACAAGCCAAUUAAUCAGACUACCAUGCCUGAACAAAGUCGAAUUCCUGAAGAAGAAAAUACUAUCAUGGAAAGCAAAACAGAGUCAAGCUUCCCAAAGGAUGCAAUUGAAAAUGCCCUAAAAUCAGACCCUGAAGAGAAGGAUGAGGAAAUGCAAAAGAAUAAGGAGUCCUCACAUAUUUUCCUAGAGUCCUCUCCCGACACUGAUCAUAACAUCGCUGAGGGAUUAUGUCAUCUAGAUGAAGGGAACAAGACAUGUGAGGAUGCAGCACCAGAAACUGCAUCCGGCAAUCAAAGCUGUGAAGCAAAUGAGGAGCAAAGUGAAAUAGAGAAACAAGAUAUGCCUAUGAAGUACAUUGACACUGUAAAUAGUCAAGAAGAGACGAUACAUAAAGAAGAUUCUGAUAAUGUGGAAGAGAGCGAGAAGUGUGAAGGAAAGGAUGGAACCGCUUUAACACUUGAGCGAGCAUCUGCAGCAGAGGAUGAUGAAAAAAGAGAAGAGAAAUUUCAGAAUCCUCAUGACAUAGAAUCGGAAACGGACAUUAAGAAAGAAAAGACAACCUCUGAAGCAGAAAGCACCAAGGUAACGCACUCAAAAGAAGGCAAAAACAUCACGAAUAUGUCCAUCUCCUUUAUCCAGUAUCUCACAUAUCAAAUUCCGAAAUUCCUAUUAUCUCCUCUUAUUUAUUCAAGAACUAUUUAGUUGAUUGUUAAUAUACAUAAAAAGGUGUAUAAAACCAAAUAAAAAGGAAAAUGGAAUCUUAAUUUUUUAAGGUUAUGAUAAAUCAACUUGUAGGUAAAAAUACUACCAUAAAAAUUCAUGGUGACCAGCCAAACUAUGACCUUAUAAUCACUGAAGAGAACCAUCAUCAAACAAAGGUGGUCUACAUACAACCUUUUAAGACAUCAAAACAAAUUAUACAGCACUGACUUCUGUAGUAGCUAUUGCUAAACAAGAUAGACCGAAACAGGCCCAGAUAGAUGUUGCCUUAUAAACACUACUGUAAUAUAAACCCUGUAAACAAUUUGAGUUCUUUAUAUUUUAUUAAAGCAUCUAAUCUAUCAACUGUUAACAGGUUUCUGAACCAGUCAACGUGGACGAGGAUACUAAAAUUGCAAAUACGAUGGAUGAUGAGAGUGUAAAGGAAAUUGUUGAAGAUAACCCUGGAAACAAUGCAGUGCCUCCACAAACAGAACAUAAUGCAGUGGGCGAAAAGCCUCAAGAAACAGAGGAUAGCAGUAGUCCACAUCCUGAUAAAGAAAGUAGUGAAACACGGGGGCUUGACAUCACAGAAGAGCAGGUGGCUGAGGUCCAAACUGCUGAAGCAGAAGACAUAAAUGCUGGCUACAUAGAAGAUAAAGAUAAACCUGAGGUAGAAAUUUUUAUCAAAUUCUUGAUAUUUCAAAUAGCAUAUCUACAUAUAUAUAGCUGUACAGAUCUAUGAACGUACUUACCCUGAAAAAUCUGAACUUAAAUGUAUCCCCUUCAAAAUCUCGAUUUCUUAUAUAUAACCUUUGUACAUAAGAUCAUAAACAAAUGAACCUAUUUGAAAAUAUUUUCCUAAAGCACUACAAAUUUUCCUCAUGAAUUAAUAACUCGGCACCUCAAAAAAGGGUAUUUUUGAAACAAACUGCACUUUGCAGGGAUAUAUGAAAAUUCUGAUUUUACAGAUAUAUAUAUAUAUAUAUAUAUAUAUAUGCCAACGUCCAUUAUAAGGCGUAGAGCUAGAGUACUUCUAAAAGUGACAGGAGCCGUUUACUUCCACGUUAUUCCUAAUGACGGGGCUUUUGAAUCGACACUCGACACUGUUAAACUUGAUCUAGGCCAUUCGGACAUUUUACAAACCGAAUUUCAUGGUAUUUCAACAUCAUUUGCCUAGUUUUUUUUUAUUGGCCUCAAAAUUGGAAAUUUAUAGCAAAUAACAGAAGGUGAAUUUGGAAACCAUUUGAUUACCAGGUAAAGGUGUCAUGAAAUCUCAAAAUUCAAUUCCUAAGAUGGUCAAAUAAUCUAGACAUGUUUAUUGGUGUAGAAUGAUGAUUCGGAUACCCAAUCAUUGGAACUGACGCAAUAACAGUCCCGUUUACUUCUUAAAGUAUUAUAGCUUUACUCCGAUUUUAAGUAUGUGUAAUUUAACUAUUAUGUUGAAAUAAUGUGUACUUUCAAAUUAUUUUCAAGUCAAACACAACUACUAAUGAAAAAUUUAUUAAGAAGGUUCCUGAAAAUGCUGGCAUAAAUGAUGACUCUCAAACUGCAUCAAUGAAGGAAAGGGAAGACACACAGAUAGAUAACAGCAGUAUCAGUGAUGCACUUACUGAGAAGAGCAACGAGGUCCCAAGCUCUUUCUAUGACGAAAAAGCUCAUCAGGGUACGAGUACCAAAGAAGGCAAUGAAGUUGAUGUUAAUGAAGAUAAGACAGACUAUCAGGAGUAUAACAAUAUUUCGGAAUCAAUAGCUGAAGAACAGAAUCAAGAGAAAGAAAAUGAAACAGAGCUAACCAAGAACGUCGAGGUAACAAACAACAACAUAACAGUCAAAAGAUGGUUGCUUACCGUCCACAAUUUUUAAAUUUGGAAUUUUACAUAUGGAUAGCUACUAAAAUCAUCUAAUUUCAUCUAUACCAUAGUAAAAUCUGAACUUUCAAAUAUACUACAUGUAAGUAGAAAAUUUUGCAGGCUUGUAAAUGUACAUGUUUCUUCUGAAUUUCAUAACAGGAUAGAACGUAGAACCAGUGCAAUGAACCACUAUGUUUUUAUGUAAAAUUUCCAACUCAAUGGAGUUUUCAUUGUCUCUUCUCUCCCUGGAUCAGGUUUCUGAAAUGGGUGAUAUAACUGAGGACCCUGAAUCUGUAAAAACAAAGGAUGAGAAACUUACGCAAGAAAACAUAUGCGGUUUUUUGGAGACACAGGAUCUGGUAACAGAAGAAAUACAUGACAAAGUUGACAAAAAGCAUGAAGAAGUGCCCAAUUUCCCAUGCGAGAAUCAGGUUGAUCAGAUUAAUACAAUUGAAGAAAAUGUAGAUUAUGGCAGGAAUAAAGAAAAGUUAGCUGAAAAUGUUGAAGCUCAGAAAGAAUCAAUUAUUGUGCCUCAGGAAAAGAAUCAGAUUGUUGUGCCCGAGGAAAAGAGUCGAGACACAAUUAGUAAAGCGGAAACCAACAAGAUUGAGAAUGCAAAAGAGGAAAACACUAAUGGUGACGAGACAUCUGGAUCGAGCUUUGAAAAUAGUAUGACUGAAAACAACUCGGAAUUAGCCCUCAAAGCAGAAAAAGAAGAGGAAAUACCAAAGGAUGAGGAAAUCUCACAUAUUCUCCCAGAGACAGCUGAAGUCAUUCCUGAAAAACAAAUACUUGGGGAUGAUGGUAAUUAUGAGGAUCCUGGUUGCACUAUUGUUGAGAAAAUAUCUCAUCAAGACGAAAGUAGUACAUGGGAAGAUGCAGCUCCAGAAGCCGUAUUAGACAAUCAAAAUAAGGAAGCAAAAGAGAAUUUGAAAGAUACAACUAGAGAAGAAGACGUAAGUUCCAAAUAUACAGCCAAUAUCAGAUAAAAAUAGAAAAAAAAAAUCAUUAACUUUUAUUCCCUACCAUAUUUGAUAGCAUCUAACUAGAAGAUGUUUAUCAUAUAGGUUGAGACCGCUGCUGAGAACAUCAAAGAGAGAGAACCAGAAAGUACGGAGAACAUCGAAGAGAAAGAAGUGGAAACUGAGAUCCAAUCUUCAGAAACUAAUGAAAUAAAAGAUGCUACAUAUGAAAUUCCAAAAUGUGAAGAAAUUUGUACGCACGAUGAGGUCAUAGCAUAUCAGUCUAAUUCUAUUUAUGUAAUAAAGCUAAAGCAUAUUAUUUUACACCAUUAGAAUUUGUUAUUAACUUUUGUGCAGAGUACGAACAUAUCCCACCAGGAUGAAGAAAGUGAAAAUAAGAAUUAUAAGGAUGAGGGAAGCACAUUUCAAAAGAUUGAUAAUACACAUGUAACAACAUCAUUGGCUGAUGAAACAGCAUUAGAGUACUCGCAUGAAGAUCAAAAGGAGUUGGCAACUAUGGCUGACACAGAAAUGGGGAGCAUGCUACCAAGAAAUCAAAAGGUUGAGCACAUACAAACUCUCGUUCAUUUCUUAUCCUUUUCCUUGAUUCCUUCGUUAGGUAAGUCGCAACAUCAUCUUUUUCAUUUCUUAUCUUCUUUUUGGUUCAGGAUGACUCUGAAUUAACAACCUCCGAGGAACAAAUUUUGGAAGCUACAUCUGAGGUAGAGCCUGCUAAAGAUGAGAUGCCAGAUGAUCAAGUAAGUCAUACUCAAGGCAACAUUGCCCACAUUACAAUGAGAAUUUACAUACAAUUAGGCACGCACACAUGCAUGUACACACAAAGAAGGCAGCUGAAACGUAUAUGAGUAUAUGCAUCUGCAAAAUUAUAGCGAUAUAUGCACUCACGCACAAACAAAUCCCUGCAAAAUUUGAAUUUUCAUAUAUGCCCUUCACAAAAAUUAAAUAGUUGUGUAUCCCUUGUACUCACGUAAAUGCCCCCCUUAGGGGAAAAAAAUAAUGCACAACCAAAUUACCCUAAUAAUUAGAUGACUACCUAAAUACAGAUAAUGGUACUUUUCUGAGAAACUGCAUUAUCAAGGGCUAUGCAUGAAAAUUCAGAUUUUACAAGGUAGUAUAAGUUAAUAAAUGAUUUUGCAAUUUGUAGAGAUAUCAUGGAAAAAGGCCCUACGAAAACACUGUGCAACUGAUUAAAUGGUCGGAGUAGAGAGAGAGAGUCGAGUUAUGAAAUUGUUCAAACUUUAUUCCUUGCCAUUAUUAGCAUUACAAAAGGUUCCAUUUGAUCCCUCUGUUUGGGAUGAUAUAGUUUAAUUUAGUGCCAGAAUGAUAUCUCUGGCAAUUAUCUAUUGCAGAAUUACAAAUUAGGUAAUGAAGACUCUGAAGUCGAGAAUCCAGAGGAGGAAGAAACAACAAGUAAGAUUCAUCCUACAUUGCCUGAAGAGACCGAAGAAGGAACAGAAACAAAACAGGAAGCAAAUCCCAACCAUGAUGAAGAAACACAUGAACAUGUAAUUAAGAACAAUGUUGUUGAUCUUGAUACCCUAAUAAAUGGAAACAAGUCCGAGGAGCCAGCUGAAGCCUCUGCGGAUAUUUUAAAGGAACCGAGUAGAGCGAUAACCACUGAGACAGGAGUUAUUGCUGAGAAAGGCUUAAUGGAGGGUGACGUAACUACUUCCGAAGAAACUAAUAAAUUGGUCUCCGAAGAUCUUGACCCUCAAAACCAUGAAAAAGUAGAGCCACCACUAAUAAGAGCUCUAGAUGAACCAACUGUUGCAGUAACUACUUCUGAAGAAACUAAUAAAUUGGUCUCCGAAGAUCUUGAACCUCAAAAUGAGAAAGAAGUAGAGUCACCACAAACAAGAGAAAAUGCUUUAGAGGAACAAAUUGCAACACCAACCAACUUGGUUACUACUACAGAGCCAGUAUCAACUGCCAACGAAGACGAUGCUGUGUCAGAGGAAUCACUCAAAAGGGUCAACCAAGAGGUUAGUUUGUGGCAUGUGACAGAAGAAUUUAAACAUCUAACUGCCACCUCCUCCCUUAUGUUUGCAAUUAAGAGUUAAGUUGAUACCUUGUUUGUUAUGCAGGUCAAAGAUUUGAAUAUGGUGUCAGAUGAACAUAUUCAAGAAGCAGCUGAAACGAACCCAGAGGGCAUUCAACCAUUACAAGAUGAGAGUACUGCUGAAGAUGCCUCAUCAACCAAGGAGUUAAAGCAUGUAUUGGAGAUGAGUACCCCUGCAAUAGCUCCUGAAGACCAAAUCCAUCAAAUCAUGCAAGCUAGUGAAACAACAAAUGAAACUAUACUGGAGAAAGAAAACAAAGAAUACCAGGAGGUUGAGGGAAACUCAGAAGCAAAGGAAAUGGAUGGAUGGGAUCAACAGGGAAUUAAAAGAAAACAGUUAAUUGGAAAUGAGUGUGAACCAAUUAACACUGGCGAUUGCAGUAAGGAGAUUAAAGACAGUGGAGCAACACUUGGUGUCACACAAGACAACAGAAACAAAGAAGAAGUUCAUAAAAGUGUAGAAACAAAAGAGAUGGAAUGUGAGAAACAAGAGGAACAAACAGCAACUGAAGUCUUCGAAGUAAAUCAAGCAAUCUACAAAGAUGAGACCAGCAAGGAGGAAAGUGAUCCUAUUGGAGAUAGAAUAGGAACAAGCGCUCUGGAGUUUGAAGACAAAUCCUCUUAUCACCAUCAUGAGCCAAUGCAUGUCGAUGACACUAUAGCUGGCAUGGUCGCAAAAGAAGAGGUAAGGAAAGAAGAUAUAAAUUCCAAAUGUACAGCCAAUGUCCAAGAAAUAAAAUUUAAGAACUUUCAUUUCUUACCAUAUUUCAUAGUAUCUUACUCGAAGAUAUUUACCAUAUAGGUUGAGAAUGCUGCCGAGAACAUCAAAGAGAGAGAACUAGAAACUACAGACAACAUCAAAGAGAGAGAAGUGGAAACUGUUGAGAUCCAAACUUCAGAAACAAAUGAAAUAAAAGAUGCAGCAUAUGAAGUCCCGCAAUGUGACGAAAUUUGUACACACAAUGAGGUCAUAACAUAUCAAUCUAAUUCUAUUAUGUACUAAAGCUUAACCGUAUUAUUUUAUACGAAUAGAAUUUGUUAUUAACUUUUGUGCAGAGUACGAACAUAGCACAUCAGGAUGAAGGAAGUGAAACUGUGAAUAAUAAGGAUGAGGGAAGCACAUUUCAAAAGAUUGAUAAUACACAUAUAACAACAUCACUGGCUGACGAAGCGGCAUUAGAGUACUUGCAUGAAGACCAAAAGGAGUUACCAACUAUGGCUGACACAGCAAUAGAGAGCAGGCUAUCAAGAGAUCAAGAGGUUACAUAUAGAUAAAAUCUCAUUCCUUUUCUUAUCCUUUUCCUUGAUUCUUUCUUCAGGUAAUUUACAACAUCAUCUUUUAUGCUUCGUUUUCUUUCUUCUUUUUGGUUCAGAAUGACUCUGAAUUAACAACCACCAAGGAACAAACUUUGGAAGCUACAACUGAGGUAGAUACUACCAGAGAUGAGACGUCAGAGAAUCAAGUAAGUCAUACUAAGGGGCAGUAAUGGCCCUAUUACAAUGAAAAUUACAUACAUUAUGCAUGCACACACAAUGUACAUAGAAAGAAGGCAACUGAAAUGUAUAUUUGUACAUUCAUCCGCAAAGUUAUUGCAAAAUACACACUAACACUCAUACAUAUCCCUACAAAAUUCAAAUUGUCAUAUAUGCCCUACACAAGCUUAAAUAGUUGUAUCAAUACUUGUACUCAUGUAAAUGCCGCCCUUAGGAGAAAAUAAUAAUAAUAAUGCACAACCAACCUACCUUAUUAAUUAGAUGACUUCCUAACUACAGAAUGGUGCUUUUCUGAGAAACUGCAAUGUCAAGGAGUAUGAAUACAAAUUCAGACUUUACAAGGCAGUAUAUGUUAAUAGAUGAUUUUGCAAUUUGUAGAGAUAUAUUCAUGGAAGAUGUCCCUAUGAAAUCACUGUGCAACUGAUUAAAUGAGGAGAGAGAGAAAGAACAGAGUUAUGAAAUUGCUCAAACUUGUAUUUCUUGCCAUUAUUAGCAUUACAAAAGGCUCCACUUGAUCGCUCUGUUUGGGAUUGUACAGUUUACGUUAGUGCCUUAAUGAUAUUGCUGGUAAUUUUUCGUUGCAGAAUUACAAAUUAGCUAAUGAAGAGUCUGAAAUUGUGAAUCCGAAGGAGGAAGAAACGACAAGUAAGAUUCAAGUUGUUCUUGCCUUGCCCAAAGAGACCAAAGAAGGAUUAGAAAUAAAUCAUGAAGCAAAUCCUAACCAUGGUGAAGAAACUCAUGAACAUGUAAGUAAGAACAAUGCUAUUGAUCUUGAUACCCCGAUAGAUGGAAACAAGUCCGAGGAGCCAGCUGAAGCCUCUGCAGAAAUUAUGGAGGAACAGAGUAGAGCAAUAACCACUGAGACAGAAGUUGUUGCUGAGAAAGGCUCGAUGGAGGGUGAGGUAACCACUUUCGAAAAAAGUAAUAAAUUAGUCUCCGAAGAUACUGACCCUCAAAACAAUAAAGAAGUAGAGUCACCACUAAUAAGAAAAAGAGCUUCAGAUGAACCGAUUGUUGAAGUAUCUACUUCAGAAGAAGCUAAUAAAUUGGUCCCCGAAGAUCUUGACGCUCAAAUCGAUAAAGAAGUAGAGUCACCACAAAUAAGAGAAAAGGCAACAGAUGAACCAAUUGUGACACCAACCAACUUGGUUACUACUACAGAGCCAGCAUCAACUGCCAAGGAAGAUGAUGCAGCACAAGAGGAAUCACUCAAAAGCAUCGACCAAGAGGUAAGUUUGUGGCAUGUGAUAGAAAAAUUUACACUGAACAACUGGCUGCCACUUCCUUACAUUUGAGAUUAAGCGUUAAGCUGAUUGUUAAAUAUAACACUGAUACUUUGUUUGUUAUGCAGGUCAAAGAUUUUAAUUUGGUGUCAGAUGAACAUAUUCAAGAACAAGCUGAAACAAACUCAGAUGUUAUUCAACCGUUACAAGAUGCCGAAGAUGUGUCAUCAACCAAGGAGUUAAAGCAUGAAUUGGAGAUGAGUACCCCUGCAAUAGCUUCUGAAGACCAGAUCCAUCAAAUCAAGGAAGUUAGUGAAACAACAAAUGAAACUGUACUGGAGAAAGAAAACAAAGAAUACCAGCAGGUCGAGGGAGACUCGGAAGCAAAGAAAAUGGAUGGACAGGAUCAAGAGGAAAUUAACAGAAAACAGUUAAUUGGAAAAGAGUGGGAACCAGUUAACGCCAACGAGUGCAAUAUAGAGAUUGAAGAAGGCGAAGCAACACUUGGCAGCAUACGAGACAACAAAAGCAAAGAACAAGAAGUUCAUAAAAGUUCAGAAACAAAAGAGAUGGAAUAUGAGAAACAAGAGGAAGAGACAGCCACGGAAGUCAUUGAAGCAAAUCAAGCAACCUACAAAGAUGAGUCCAGCGUGGAGGAAAGCAAUGCUAUUGGAGAUAGAAUAGGAACAAGCGCUUCGGAGUAUCAAAACAAAUCUUCUAUGCACAAUAAUGAGCCAGUACAAGUUGACAAUACUGUUGCCGGUGUGGUCGCACAAAAAAAGGUAACCAUGGUAUAUUAUUGUUUCAGCUACUUGUAUGCUUCUACGUGUUCAGGUAUAUAUAUAUAUAUAUAUAUAUGUAUGUAUAUAUAUACAUAUAUAUGUAUACAUAUAUAUAUAUAUGUAUACAUAUAUAUACAUAUAUAUACAUACAUAUAUAUAUAUAUAUGUAUACAUAUAUAUACAUAUAUAUACAUACAUAUAUAUAUAUAUAUAUAUAUACAUAUAUAUAUAUAUAUACAUAUAUAUACAUAUAUAUAUAUAGGGGGAGAGGGGGAGAGGGGGAGAGAGAGAGAGAGAGUCCGGCUACAAUACUUUCGAAAGCAUAAGAGAGUUCGUACUUCCAACUUUUUGGCCCUUGGAUCAACAGUUUUGACCAUUUCUAACUUUUGGAUUAAUUUAUUAUUACCCUAGAGAGACCACUCAACCCUAGGGGUACCAAUUAACCCUAAGGGGAACCACUAUCAUCCCAAUCCUACAAUCCUUGAUCUACGGGGAAAAAUGUCGGAAGCACCAACUCCUUUAUGCUUUCGAUAGCAUAGUAGCUCUACACUAUAUAUAUAGAGAGAGAGAGACAGAGAGUAGGGCUACUAUACUCUUAUGAAUAUAAAGCCCUUCGUACUCGUAAGUUGUUUUCAAUUAUGAAGCUUCCGAAUCGACGAUACACACUGUUAAAUAUGAUUUAUAGUAUUUAAAACUUCUAGAAGUUGAAUUUUGUAAUUUUCUCGAAAUCAUAAUAAAAUCCAGCAAGCGGGUAUAAAAUAAACGGUCAAAAUCAAACGACGUCCGAGAAAUAGAUGAUCGGAUACUUCAAUUUAAGAUCAGAGUUAUUGAUUUUUAUCUAGAUAGUGAAUAGAUUUUUUUAUCAAAAAUUCAACCGAUUUUAAUUCUUUUACACUGUUAAACUAGUAAGUAUCCCAUACUGGUCGUUAAAAGUUAUCAAUUUUGGGAUCUUUUGAUCGUAAGGUAAAUGAUGUCAAAAAAUUAUGAAAUUUAAUACUCCAAAUUAUGUUUAACGGUAUGGACCAUUGAUUCGAAAGUUAAUCCUCUAAAUUAUGUUUAACUGCUCAACUCUAUUAACUGCACAUUCUUUCAUCCAAAAGCCGAAAACAUAAUAGCAAGUGGUUGGUACUAUUAAUAGUAUAGUAGACUAUAUAUAUAUAUAUCUAUAUAGUCCGGCUACUAUACUCUUAUGAGUACAAUCGUCCUCGUACUCAUAGUUUUGCCUGUUAGAUCUAUCCGUUGAUCAUUUCCAUCCGUUAGAUCAUACUAUUCAACCAACCACCCACUCAACCCUAGGGGACCACUAUCAUCCUAACACGCAUCACUUCAUCCAACGGCAGAAACUUAUGAGUACAAAAAGGCCAAUACUAAUAAGAGUGUAGUAGCCCUAAAGGGCCAAUACUAAUAGAGUUGUAGAUAUAUAUAUAUAUAUAUAUAUAUAUAUAUAUAUAUAUAUAAUAAGAGAGACGAAAGAGAGAGAGAGAGAGAGAGAGUUCCAGCUGAUAUACUAUCGGUAGCACGGAGACCUCCGUGCUACCAAGUUGUUUUCGAUGAUGCGGCUUUCAAAUCAACGAUCAGCUCCGUUAGACUUGAUCUACACUAUUGAAAUUAUUUGAAAACUAAAUUUUAUAAUUUUUAACAUCAUUUACCUAUCAAACGAGUAGUCUAAAAAUGAACGGCUGAAAUUAAAAAUCUCAUAAAAAAUAAUAAUAAAAGACUUGAAUUUAAAAUAGUAAAAAGAAUUUUCUAUAAAACUCAGACUUGAAUUUAAAAUAGUAAAAAGAAUUUUCCAUAAAACUCAGAGGCUUGAAUUAAAAAUCAGAGGUACUAAUCUUACUCUAAAUAGUAAAAAGAAUUUUCUAUAAAACUUUCAUCGGAUUUGGAUUGUUUUACACCGUUAAAUUCACAAACGUAUCACAUCGGCCAUUAAAAUUAUCAUUUUUGAGACCUUUUGAUCACUAGUCAAAUAAUGUUGAAAAAUUAUGAAAUUUAGUUUCCAAAUAUUUUCAAUAGUAUAGAUCAAGUCUAACAAAACCGAUCAUUGAUUUGAAAGCCCCAUCAUCAAAAAUAACUUGCUAGCACGGAAGCCUUCGUACUACCGAUAAUAUAACAGCCUAGCUCUCUCUCUCUCUCUCUCUCUCUCUCUCUCUCUCUAUAUAUAUAUAUAUAUAUAUAGGCUGGGGCUACUACACUCAUAUGAGUAUAGAGCCUUUUGUACUCAUAACCUUUCAGCCGUUCGGAUGAAAAAAUGUGCGAUUAGGAUGAGAGUGGUUACGGUUAGGUUGAUAGUGGGCCCCCUAGGGUUGAGUGGGUGGUUGAUUGAAUAGUAUAAUCUAACGGGUAAAAAUGAUUAAAGGGUAGAUCAAACGGCCAAAAACUUAUGACUACAAGAGGCUCUAUACUCAUAAGAGUAUAGUAGCCGGACUAUAUAUAUAUAUAUAUAGAGUUUUACUAGAAUACUAUCAGUAGUAAACGAGUCGUUUUACUACCUAUUUGUUUUCGAUGAUAGAGCUUCCAAAUUGACGAUCGGCUCCGUUGAACAUGAUCUAUACCACUUGAAGUGUUUAGAAAUCAAAUUUCAAAUCUUUUCGACAUCAUUUGCCUAAUGAUCAAAGGGUUUCAAAAUUUGUAAUUUUAAUGGUCGAUAAGAGGCGUUUUCUCGUUUAACAGCGUAAAGAUAUCCAAAUCAAUUGAAUUUUUGUUAGAAAAUUCUUUAAACUAUUUAAAACAAGAUCUAUACUCUUGAUCUUGAUUACAAGGCUCCUAUCAUCAUUUUUUAAAGAAUAUUCAUUUUCAGCCAUUUAUUUUUCUGUUCACUUGAUGGAUAAAAGAACAAUAUCGAAAGUGCGUGAAAUUUGAUUUCUAGGUAGUUUAAAUGGUUUAGAUCAUAUUUAACGGAGCCGAUCGUCAAUUUGGAAGCUCUAUCAUCGAAAACAAAUCGGUAGUAAAACGGCUCGUUUACUAUCGAUAGUAUUCUAGCUCAACACUAUAUAUAUAUAUAUAACUGCUAGAAUACUUCUAAAAGAACUAAGGGGUUGGUACUUUUAAGUUUGUAGCCCUUAGAUGAAGGUGUUGUAAAGCUAGGAUGAUACUAGCCCACUUGGGUUUAGUGGUGGUAAGUGGAAUAAUAUUUGAUCCAAAGGCUACUAAUAGUUAUGGGGUAGAUCUAAGGGCUAGAAACCUAAAAGCACCAAUGAGUUGGUGCUUUUAAUGUAUUCUAGCUCAACUCUAUAUAUAUAUAAUUUAGAGUAGGGUUGCUGUGCUCUUAGGAGUGCAGAAGCCUCUAUGCUCGUAAGCUGUUUUCGAUGAUAGAAUUUUGAAUCGACGAUCGGCUCUAUUAGACUUGAUCUCUAAUUUUAAAUUCAAGUCUUUUAUCAUCAUUUUUUAUGAGAUUUUUAUUUUCAGCUGUUUAUUUUUAUACUACUCGUUUGAUAGAUAAAUGAUUUCCAAAAAUUAUAAAAUUUAAUUUUCAAAUACUUUCAAUAGUAUAGAUCAAGUCUAACAGAGCCGAUCGUUGAUUUGCAAGCCGUAUCAUCGAAAACAACUUGGUAGCACGGAGGCUUCCGUACUACCGAUAGUAUACCAGCCGGACUCUAUAUAUAUAUUGCAAAAUCAUAUUAUUGCAUAUGUGCACAUGUAAAAUCGACUCUCUCAAAUAUACUCGUCAAAAAUGUAGUUUCUUACAAAAGUACCUUUCAUAUUUUUCAAUGUCCAAAAUCAGUGGGAAGUUGAUUGAAUAUCAGAACAAGUUUUAAAGGGGUACAAUUUGAUACGAGGGAUAUGUAAAAUUAAGUUUUUGAAGGGCAUACGUGAAUAUUUUACAAUUCAAGAAAUAAAUACGUCAAUAGAUAAGUUUGCAGGCUUCAGGAAUAAUACAUAAAUGUGUUUGCAAUCUACUGUCUUUUGGCAACCUCUUCAUUUUCUGACCAUGCUUCGUUGAAGUUCAACUAAAUGAGUUUUAUAAAAUCAGAUUGUAAAAGCGGAGAAUGAAAUAUUUGAGCAUGAGAAUCAAUCCAAGAACAAGGAACCAGAUGAAGAAUUGAAGCCUAAAGAAACUGAUGCGACACUGAAUGAAAAUCCAACUGACAAGGUCAGGUUACAGUGAAUUAACUAAGACAAUUUUCCUUUCAUUCUCCUACUAUUUCCUUUCUUGCAUCUGACAGUAUAAUCUGACAAGGUCAGUGAAUUAACUAAGACAAUUGUCAGUAUAAUCUGACAAGGUCAGAUUAUACUGACAAGGUCAGAUUACAGUGAAUUAACUAAGACAAUUUUCCUUUCAUUCUCCUACUAUUUCCUUUCUUGCAUCCUUUUGCUAAAUAACAUAAAUUACUUUUUCAAUAUUCAGGUUAAUGAAGCUGAUGCUACACUGGCAGAAAAGAAUAUCAUAACGGAUGAGAAAACAAAGGAAGAAAUUAAGACCAGAGCAAUGAAUAAUGAUUUUGCCAGCAAAGAGAUCGAAACUUCUUCUGAAUACAUUUCCACUAAUUGGGAAACUGUCUCUGAGGCACUCAAAGCAAAUAUAAUGACAUUGGAUGAUAAUAAAAAAGAUAAAGAUGUUACUGAUAAAAUUGUCCAUAACUUGGGGAUCGAGAAAGAGGACACUUCAUUGGUUGUGCUCAGUAAGAACGAAAUUCCAGAAAAAUUAUCAACUAAUGAAGCAAUUGAUGAUAUACAAAACGAGAAGGAAAGUUUCCCAGUGGUUGACACUGCACAAAAUGAGGAUAAGCAACAAACUGAACAAGAUGUCUUGCCUGUGUCCCGUUAUCUGAUGGAUCGCAUCUUGCAAGAACAAAGUGGUAAUAAUGAUGAAACUUUGGAAGUGGAAUCCGAAGAAAUGACACAGGGAAAAACUAUUGCGCAAAUUGCAGAUGAUACAAUAAUUUCCAAAAGAGAAGUACAAGAUAUCAAAAGAGCCGAAGACCAUAUCAAUUUAGUGGAAGAACAUAUGCAUGAUCCUGAAAAGCCUAUCGAGAAAUCAUUGGAAAAUAAUGAUGGAAUCCAAGAUAACAAUCCUUGCAAUGCACCUCAGGUAGUAGCAGUGGAUGAAGAUGUAAAGGGAGAAGUUUCUAGAGGAAUGAUGUCAAGGGAAAAGGACCCGGAAAAAGAAGUUGAUGUAAAAGAGUUGAAAAGCAAGGAUUUGUUGCAAGAUGGCAAAAUUCCCAUAACUGGACCACAAGUGAUAGAAACUGCAAUGCCAAAAGCUUCCGAGGAGGAUGCUCCAAACGAAGGAGAAAAAUGUGAAGUAGAAAUGCUAAGUGACAUCCCAAAGAAUGACGAGGUUGCAAAUGAAACACCCAAGCAACAGACAUCUUCACUCUCUGAACCAGUUCAAGAUGCCAAAAGUCUGCUUCAAAGUGUUGAAAUUCCACAAGAAUCUCAUUGUCAUGAAGCUGAUUAUUCCACUAAAUUAUCAAAUGACAAAGAAAACAUGCCGGAAGAAGCAUCGGAAGCUCUACCAAAAAGUGUAGAAGUUGAUAAUGGAGAAGUAAAGAAAGGCCAAAUCUCCGAAAACAGCGUGCUUGAAGUUUUGAAAGUUGUGCCUGAAGGUCUAAAAGAUGAGAAUGGAGAAGAGAAUCAACACACAAUCACUGAAAGCCAAACAAUAAUGACGAAUGUUGACUUACCUGAGGAGCCAGAGGUAUCUGAUUCACAAAAUGUCCAAAAACCUGACACCAAAAUAGAAUCUGGCAAGGAAACUGUCAAACUAGAUGAAAAGUGUUCGGAAAACAUAAUCACAGCUAUAUGCACAGAAGAAAAGCAGAGUGAGAAGCUGGAAAAUGCAAUUACCAAGGAAGGAAAAAGUGACAGUGAUAAGAAAGACGAAAAGAAAGGAGGUGAUGAACACAAAUCAGAUGACUUUGGCCAUAGCACAUAUGUAAUAGUUGAGGAUUCCCGGAGGGUUGUGGUUGAGAAUGAAGAACCCAAGCAAGACAAAGUCCCUGAAGUCAACAUGCUUGAAGAUCUGGAAACCCUGCCAAAAGAUAAAAAUGUUGAGAAUGAAGAAGAGAACCGAGAAACAACCACUGAGAGCAAAACAAUGAUGACCAAAGUCAAUUUUCCUAAUGAGCCAGAAGUACCUGAUUCACAAAAGGUCCAGAAACUUGAUACAGAAAUGGAAUCUGCAAAGAAAAUAGUUGAACCAGAUGAAAAGUGCUCAGAGGUAGUAAACCUGACAACAUCCACUGAAGAAAAGCAAAGCGAGAAGGUGAUUAGUGCAACCAGUGAGGAAGAAAAAACAGAUGAUGAUGAUGAGAAAGAUGGAAGACAAGGAGAAGAUGAGCACAAAGCAGAGGAUCCUGGAAACAAUGCUGCAGUGAUAGUCGAAGCAAGAGAUGUAGAGUUGAAGCCAACACAUAAAAAAUCUCACAACAUCUUAUCAGGUGUUGGGUCAAAAGUCAAGCACUCACUCGCCAAAGUGAAGAAAGCCAUCACAGGUAAGUCUUCCCACCCAAAGACUGCCUCUCCAAGAUAAAAAGGGUGGAGUCUUUAACAAACAAUUCAUAUGCAUAAUAUAUUGCUAGAGGUUUCAACGUACCAGAAAGACAGUAUUGGAUGUUCACAAUGCAGUGCUUUUGUGUAUGUUAUUGUAUAGCUUAUUAUGCCACUUCAAGGUUUGUAAAUGUUGGUCAUGUGUUAUUUGCACUUUAUCUUCUGCAGCUUCCCUGUAAUUUAUGUUGUAGAGUUAGAGAAUAUAUAUUUUUCUGAAUAAGAUCUCCGUCUAGCAAUAAUGUAAUAACCCAGACUAGAUAAUUAUUUGUUUGGCACCUUUUUUCUAAAAUUUGGACCUUAUGUUUUUUGUAAUCGGAGAGUGGCUUGGUAGCAUUUUGUGCAAAUUUAACCCUAAUGAACCUAACUCCAUCUCUCUCUCUCUCUCUCUCUCUCUCUCUCUCUCUCCUGUGCGAUCUUGCUGAUCUCUCUCUAUACUUGUGAAUUUUUUAGUGAGUAAAAAAGAGAAAAAGGAUUGUAAUUGUGAGAUUUCUUGUAAGAAGAAGGGCACUUGAUGUAAAGGCUUGGAGCUUCCCCGCAAAAGCAUCAUCUAGUGGAGAUAGCAAUGAGACUGGAGUGAUGGAUAUGAAUGGUUGACUGGAAUGAUUUGGUAUAUGUUAAAUAUAAUAGAGCACUAAUGCGUCGGUACAAUUUGCGUGAUACCAUUGAUCCCAUUGUACUAAAUGAUGUUGAUGAUAGCAAUGAAUGGUUGCCUGGAGUGAUGGAUAGUGAUGGAGAGGGCGAUAAUGAGAAAGCACUUGCUUGGGAAGAUGAUACUUUGACAUGGGGUGAUGUGGCUAGAGCUGCUGGGGUUAACGAGCAUAGCCAUCAUACACGAUUUACAUUGUCAAUGAAAGGGCUUGAAAAAGGAAAAGGAAUUGAAAAGGAAAAGGAAAAAGAAAAAGGAAAGGGAAUUAAAAAAGGAAAGGAUAAGUUGCCGUCAUCUCGACUAUCUUUAUCCAUCGAUGAAGAGCCAAAUUGGGUUGAUUUUAAAUACAGAAGAAUAAGAGGAUAUUGGGAAUUAACAAUCUGACGAAGAAGAAGAAGAUUAUCGCGAUGCAAGCGAAGAGGACGAGGACGAGGACAAGGAUAAUGCUUGAAGAAUGACCAAAUAAAAACAUUGGCACCAUAAUCACUUUUAAGUUUUAAGUUAAAAGUUGAAAUAUAUUUUUUUUUGUUUGAGAACCUAUAUGCAUGUGUUUUCUUUACUUUUUGAUAGUUAUUUUAUUUUUGUAUUGUUAUUUUAGAGUUUUUUUAAUGUAGAACAUCAAAUUAAAUUAGGCUUAGUAAAUGUGCGCCUCGCCUUCUUAAGGUGUGCCUCGCAGUGCGCCUCGCGCCAAGGCUCCAGGAGAGUCUUGCGCCUUUUUGCGCCUCAUUUGCUUCAUUUCGCACCUCACAUUCCCACAACCGCCUCGCCGCAGCAACCGUCUGAUCGAGAUUGUUAUCCAAGCCUACUCGUGGAAACGAGUCGUCGUCAAAUCCUUCGAUUUCUCUAUUCUUUCUGCAACUAAUUCUAAACCCUAAUUUCCUAUCCUAAUUCCUAUUCUUUCUGCAACUAAUUCUAACCCCCCCCCCCCCAACCACCCCCUCUUAGGCUGCCAUUUCGACCCUCACAUUCCACCACGACCUGCCGUCGCCGCGGCAACCGUCUGAUUGAGAUUGUUAUCCAAGCCUACUCCAUGGAAACGAGUGGUCGUGCGUGAGCAAAGGUACCUCAUCCGAACCUAUUGUUAGAGUUAGUCUGCCAACGGCGCCGCUGCCGUCCAGCACCACCUUACACUCCCAGCUUUACCGUCGGAUUCUCCCCCGUCGUCAAAUCCUUCGAUUUCUCUAUUCUUUCUGCAACUAAUUCUAAACCCUAAUUUCCUAUUUUCCUAAUUCUUAUUCCAUCCCUUUUUAAACCCUAACCCUUACUCUCUUUUCCACUAUUUUAGAACGUGUAACGAAGCGGCUAAGACUCAACAAUGGAAAGAAGUUGAACCGACUCGCCCGCGUGCGUGCGAUGAAUCCACCCUAUGGAAACUCAAAGGUAUGAUCUUUCCCUAAACAAUCUCUUAUUUUUAAAUUUCGAAUUUUCAGAUAUAUCGUUUAUUUUUUUUAGUUUGAUUUCUAGGAAUCACUCGAUUCGUAUUUUUAAGCAAUUCUCGAAAACCUCUAAACUCCCUAAACCGCCCUGCUUCACCUCCAAGCCUAGUUGAAAAGUUGAUAAUGUUGAUGUUUCAAUGACCAUUGCCCUUACGAGGCUGAUCUAAAUCUUAAGGUUACAGACAUCACAUGCCCUUACAAAGCAAUCAAGAUAUAAUCAUAACGGUAACAUGUCAUAGAUACACUGUGUAUAGGAGUCAAACUAAGCAUGCUAGUUCACAGCUGAAACAUGACAAUUCAUCCUUAGUUAUCUUCAAUUAUAAUUUUACAACAAGCACAACGGCUAAACAAGAUAACAAAAGAAAGGCAUAGGAUAGAGCAAACCCAAGCAGAGCUAGACCAUUCCAGACUGAGGAGCCUCCUCAACGCACCUCAUGCGCAGUUCCUCGGUACCACGUAAUGUCCACUAUGCAUCCCCUACUCUUUGAUAUCCAUUAGGACCUAAGAGAAGGGUGAAUCAUUCAUAAGUUAAAACAUCACUUUCGACCUAACGUGGUCAUUACCGCACUAGAGUUCAAUUGCGACCAAUAUUACUUCAUCGAGCAAUUCAACUAAAUUUACGGAAACACCACAUUGAUUCUAGUUGAAUCGGUCUAUAGUCUCACAAUACACUAGAUACACUUAAAGGCGAGGUGAGAAAUACUCACAAAACUCAAACCCUAGCAUGAUCCUGCAAAACAUGCGUUUUACCAAAAACGCUGAUUUUGCUGCCAUGUCAUCUCACAGUUUCCACAAUACCUCCAAUACCCACCAAUUUUGGGGUUUUACUAAGAUUGACAUCAAAAUCCUAGAUUUUCCAACAUUUUCGAACAUCGGGCCCUUGGCUUCGACGAUACCUCAAAACAAGUUAAAACUGUCAGAACCACGAAAUCAACGACAUCUACUCAUAAAGAGUUAAGGCUUAGGUGCACUCACCAAUAAUUGCCCAACACAAGGGGUCGAUUUCACUACAUUCUUCAAAAGUCCAUCAUAACUCGAAGAUCGUGGUCGCAACUUCAUCGUAACAUCAAUCUUAGUUGUCGAGUCUCCUAUUCAUCAUUUCAACUAAUCUAAGUUGCCCCGGCAUUUCCUUGAUUGCAUCCACUACUGGGGCCUUUUAUGCGAUACACUCUCGCAUACCUGAUUGACAAGUCUGUCAACAUUUUCUUGUUCUACAUCGUUUUUCUCUUGCCUAAAGUUUCAGUUUCAAACAAAGGCUUAGGGUAUUAACGUCCACUGAAACAUGGUGAAAGACAUUAUUGUCAAAUGUCAAUCCACUAUCUGAUAAUUCUAAUGGUUUUGCAAUUUACUUCUCCCAUUCUUUAUCUGACAUCUUCUCGCGCCUACCAGUUGGUUCCUUGAUCGAAUCAUAAAGAUCUUUGCAAUAGAGGAGAUCUUCCAUGCGAGGCUUCCAGGUCGAGUAAUUUGUUGACGUCAACUUGAUAUAUAUUGCAAUUGGAAGAUUGAUCCUCCAUCUGGUAGCAUCUUCUCCAGUACUCUGGAUUUAAUGUAACCUGGCUCUAAUACCACUUGUUGGGAAAGAAUCCAAAUGAAUACUGAGAAAUAGUGGGCGCAAAUGCGCCAACAACAAUAAUGAGCAUAGAGAUAUCGUGCCAAUCACACAACCAAGAACACCAAAAUCUACGUCGUUCGGCCGAAACCUACAUUCACGGGAAACAGAGUAAGAAAAAGCUUCACUAUAAAAUAAUAUAGAGUACAAUGUCCUCUUCAACACUGCCAAAAAUAUCACCUUUAAUAUUGUGCAAUAAUAUUAUCGCAAGCUCCAUUUCUUAAGGAACUGCGGGCUUUAGACUGACAAAAAAAAAAAAAAAAAAAAAAAAAAAAAAAAAAAAGCAAAAAUAGAAUAGACAGGCCCUAGAACUUUGACUUCUUCACACCCAACCAUCUAGAAAUCAGCCUUGUCCGCUUAUAAAUGAAUAGACAGGCCUUAGAACUAAGCUCCUUCACACCCAACCAUCUAGAAACCAGCCAUCUAGAAAUCGCGCUCAAGUCCUCAUCACCAAUCACAAAGGGAAAAAAAACGUCUUAAAUCACAAAUAUCAGGUGCUCAUCACUAAUCACAGAGGGAAAAAUAACUUCUUAAACCACAAAUAUUUUUAGCAGGGCCUAGAAGCAAUUUGAUAGAACCGCAAGACAAGCAUAUUUCAUGUUUAAUAUCUUACACAAAAAGAAAAGGUUAAAUUACAAAAAGAAACGAACAAAUAUUUGUAGACAACAUGGUUUUUUUUAACAACAGCUUCCCUUCUCCCUCUUCAAACUUUUCAUAUCUUCUUCUGAGUAUGAAGGUAUCAGUUACUUCCUAAAAGAUCCAUUGUAAUUUUCUCUUCAUCACCAAUUUCAUCUACAACAGAUACUUAAACUGAACUACAGCACUUUGUGGGAGAGUUUUAUGUAAUUCAUGAGCCUCUUUAGAGCAUUACCACUAUCAAUCACUUCCCGUGCACGGUCUAGGGCCGAUGAAAUAUCCUCGGCCCCAGCACAACCCAACAAGUGGUCGACCAUCCCUGCAUUGAGAACGAUCCGGUCAUAUGCUGGCCCUUUCUCACCGCGGAGAGCUGCUAAACCCAGCUCUAUAUUUCUCAAAACCUGGUUCAGCCAUCAGUGGAUUAAGAUUCUUUCAUUAAAUGACUUUCAAGAGAUUCUCGGAAGAAGGUAGUAUAGUAGAAGACGAACAAUGUUUAAAAAACACAAGGCUUUUACAUGCAUGUAUGCAUCCAUGCAGAAUGAUCUCUUUACUUACAUAUAAAAUUUGACUAUUCAAUAUGAUCGUGCACCAUUUGAAAAGUAUAGUUUCUCACCGAAAAAAGAAAACCUUUAGUAAAGCAGCAGACUCAUCCAAUUCAUGGCAAAAAGUUGGUUUUGUAUUAAUGUAUUUCAAAGUGAAGCACUACAUAAGUAUUUUCAGAUAUAUAUAAGUAAUGAAUUAAGCAUUUGAACGGCUAUAUGAAAAUCACGAUUUUGCAGUGAUAUUACUUUAUUAAAUAAUUUUAUAGGUGUAUUAUAUAAUUAUCCCUAUAAGUUGUUUUAAUCACAUUCUGUAAUUGUUCUUGGCCAUUUAAUCCUUACUGAGCUUUUGAAGUUGGGAAAAUUGCCAAACCUUAUUAACGAAAUAAGCUGAUACCAUGAUGCCCCCAGACUAAGGCUUGGACUGAUAUUUAAGUGACAUCAACAUAGGGGUGAAAAUGAAUUGGACAUGGACGAAUAUUUUGAUGAGACCAUAUCUGCAUCCUUUUUUUCAGAUAUGAAUUCAGAUACAGAUGUGUCGAAUGCUAAAUUUUCGUUACCAUAUCCGCUAAAAAUGGAUACGGACACACUCGGAUAUUUCUUUAUAUUAAAAUAUGGAUCGGAUAUAUAUUCGGAUAUUUAUUCAAGUAACAAUAUACACUAAUAUGAAUAUAUAAAUAUGAACUAGCAUUAUUUACAUUCAUGUUCAAAUUUUUAUAUACCUAUAUUUGAUUGGAAUAAUAUCUAAGAUUUAACAAACACAAAUGCAAUUAAGUUUUAAUAUAAAAUGCAAAAUAAAAUAAACCAAGAACACAAAAAACCACUUCAUUUUCCCGCAACAUAAAUUAUCUCCCCACAAAAAAGCAAUUAAACUCCUUAUCUCCCCACAAGUAGCAAUUAAGCCACCUUUAUCUCCCAAAAAAAAGAAAACAAUUAGACCCAUCUUGUCUCCUCACAUAUAUUAGCAAUAAUUAGAACUUUUAUAUAUAUAUACAGAGAGAGAGAGAGAGAGCUAGGCUGGUAUACUAUCGGGAGCAGGGAGGCCUCCGUGCUACCAAGUUGUUUUCAAUGAUGCGGCUUCCAAAUCGACGAUCGGCUCCGUUAGACUUGAUCUACACUAUUGAAAGUAUUUGAAAACUAAAUUUCAUAAUUUUUCGGCAUCAUUUACCUAUCAAAUGAGUAGUCUAAAAAUGAACGGUUGAAAAUAAAAAUCUCAUAACAAAUGAUGAUAAAAGACUUGAAUUUAAGAUCAGAGAUACUGAUCUUCCUCUAAAUAGUGAAAAGAAUUUUCUAUAAAAAUUUCUUCAGAUUUGGAUUGGUUUACACCGUUAAUAUUCACAAAUGCAUAACAUCUACCAUUAAAAUUCUCAAUUUUGAGACCUUUUGAUCAAUAGCCAAAUGAUGUCACAAAAUUAUGAAAUUUAGUUUCCAAAUAUUUUUAAUAGUGUAGAUCAAGUCUAACAGAGCUGAUCGUCGACUUGGAAGCCACAUCAUUGAAAACAUCUUGGUACCACGGAGGCCUCCGUGCUACCGAUAGUAUACCAGCCAAGAAUUUAAGUACCGUGGCACGGGGUCGUGCCGGAAACUUGCCGGCACGGUGCGUGCCGAGCCGUGUCGAUGUGUGCCGGUCAAAAAAAUUCUUGUGUGCCGACACAUAAUAGCAUGAAAUAUUUAUUUUCUUUAGCAACAAAAUAUUCUAACUAUUUAUUAUGUCUUUUUAUCACAUCUUUUGAACUUUAUUGAGGAAAUUAUUUACUAAUUUAAAGAAUAGAGGGUUUUGAGCUGUGCCAUCGGCACAGAGUCUGUAUCGUGCCGGUAUCUUGUUGGCACGGUACGACACAGUGGAUACGGCCCGUACCGACGGGCAUUUAAAACCUUACUUGUAAGCUUUUUUGUAUGUAAAAUAUAAUUACACCUGAUGCAGAAUAAAAAUUUUUACAGGUUAGAAUUUUAAAAAUGUAAAGAUAUCUUUCUUUCUUUCUUUUAACUAUAUUACAUUUUUUUAUAAAAUACAAAAAAAAUAAUUUUUAAAAUUUUUUGAAAAAAUUAUUUUAAAAAGUAUUAAAAAAUUAUUUUUUAUUAAUUUUUAAAAAAACUUCUUAGAUCUAUCAAAAAAAUUAAGCAAUAAAUUAUAUGACAAAUAAAUAAAAUAAAUUUAAGCAUCAAUUGUUUUAAUUUAGUUUUUAAUUUUAUCAAUAUUUUUAAUUUUCCAAUGCAAAAAUAAAUUUUUAUAUUUGAUGUGCCUGAAUAUUUGUUUAUUGAGUUCAAUUUUGUUUUAAUUCAACAAAAAAUUCGCGUUGCAACAAAUUUUGAUAAAAUAAUUUAUGAAAAGAAAUGGAUGUCUGUGGUAGAAGUGGAGGGCUCGGGCCGAUAAUGGGGGUGCGGGGGCCUUCAUCCCUUGCGGUAUGAAUCGGAUAUGUAAAUGAAAAUUUGCCCGUAUAUUGAUAAACAGAAAAAUUAAAUUAUAAUUUUUUUGAGUUACCUAAUAAGUAAAUCUUCGAUUUGCAAUGAACUUGGGGGGUGUGGGAUGCUUCGUGGUAUCCCAGAGAACAAAAUAAAAAGAAAAAAAAGCAAAAAGCAAAAAAAAAUAGUGUCGGCACGGCACAGUAACGUGGCACCAAGGUUUAAAGUGUCGCCUCGUGCCGUACAGCACGGGGCAGCACGUAUGGUACAGGGAAGGUCUCGGGCCCCUCUCCGUGCUGUGGCACAGACCUACAUAUCCCGCGAGACAGAGCGAUACACAGGUCCGUGCCACGGUACUAUGCUGUGCCGGCACAUUAUUUUUUUUUGUUUUUUGCUUUUUUUCUCUUUUUGUUUUGUUCUGUGAGAUACCACGAAGCAUCCCACACCCUCCAAAGAUAUUGCAAAUCGAAAAUCUACUUAUUAGAUAAGUCAAAAAAUUAUAAUUUAACUUUUUUCUUUAUCAAUAUACUGGCAAAUUUUAAUUUACAUAUUCGAUCCAUACUGCAAUGGGCGAAGCCCCCCGCACCCGCUUUAUCAGCCCGAACCCUUCGCUUCUACCACAAACAUCCAUUUUUUUCAUAAAUUAUUCGAUCAAAAUUUGUCGCAUUGCGAAAUUUUUGGCGAAUUAAAGAAACAAAAUCGAACUCAAUAAACAAAUUUUGAGGCACAUCAAACAUAAAAAUUUAUAUUUGCAUUAGAAGAUUAAAAAUACUGAUAACACUAAAAGCUAAAUUAAAUCAAUUGAUACUUAAAUUUAUUUAAUUUAUUUGUCAUAUAAUUUAUUGCUUAAUUUUUUUGAUAGAUCUAAUAAUUUUUUGAAAAAAUUAAUUAAAAAAUAAUUUUUUUAAAUACUUUUUAAAAUAAUGUUUUUGUAUUUUAUAAAAGAAAGACUGUAAUAUGGUCAACAGAGAAAAAGAAAAAAAAGAUGUCAUUGCAUUUUAAAAAUUCUAACCUGUAAAAAUUUCUAUUCUGCAUUAGAUGUAGUUGUACUUUACAUACAAAAAAACUUAUAAGUAUGUUAAUUGAUGAGUAUAGUAAGUUAUACAUAGCAAAUAUUCAUAAUUAUUUCAUUAAAUCUUUCAAAAUAACAUUAUAAGAGCUUAUUAGAACUAAAAAAACUAACAUAAGUUUGUGCCAAAGCGUACUAGUAGGAGGUCAUACGUAUCCAUCGGCACGCAAAUGUACUAUGUUGGCACGGAAGCGUGCCGGUGCCGUACCGUGCCAGGCAGACAACGACACACCCCCGUGCCACAACACUUUAAACUUUGCUUACAAGUAUGUUAAUUAACGAGUAUAGUAAGUUAUACAUAGAAAAUAUUCAUAAUUAUUUGAUUAAAUCUUUUAAAAUAACAUUAUAAGAGCUUAUUGGAAUCCAAAAAUCUGAAAUAAGUCCGUACCAAAGCGUGCCAGUAGAAAGUCAUACGUAUCCAUCAGCACGCAUGCAUAUCAUGUGUCGGCACGAAGGCGUACUGAUGCCGUACCGUGCCAGGCAGACAACGGCACACCCCAUACCACGGCACUUUAAACCUUGCCUACUGGUACGUUUUGGUACAAACUUAUUUUAGUUUUUUUUUGUUUCAAUAAGAUCUUAUAAUGUUAUAUUGAAAAGAUUUAAUCAUAUAAUUAUAAAUAUUUGGCAUCUAUAGCAUACUAUACUCAUCAAUUAACAUACUUGUAAGCUUUUUUGUAUGUAAAGUACAACUAUGCCUGAUGCAGAAUAAAAAUUUUUACAGGUUAAAAUUUUUAAAAUGCAAAGACAUCUUUCUUUCCUUUUUCUUUCUUUUGACCAUAUUACAGUCUUUCUUUUAUAAAAUACAAAAAAAAUAAUUUUAAAAAUUAUUUUAAAAAUUAUUUGAAAAAAUUUAUUUUUUUAUUAAUUUUUUCAAAAAAUUAGUAGAUCUAUCAAAAAAAUUAAGCAAUAAAUUAUAUGACAAAUAAAUUAAAUAAAUUGAAGUAUCAAUUAAUUUAAUUUAACUUUUAAUUUUAUCAGUAUUUUCAAUCUUCUAACGCAAAAAUAAAAUUUUAUAUUUGAUGUGCCUCAAAAUUUGUUUAUUGAGUUCAAUUUUGUUUUCCUAAUUCGCCAAAAGUUUCGCAGUGCGACAAAUUUUGAUGAAAUAAUUUGUGAAGAAAAAAUGGAUGUCUAUGAAGAAAAUAAUGUGAUAAAAAUUUGCCCAUAUAUUGAUAAACGAAAAAAAUUAAAUUAUAAUUUUUUUGACUUACCUAACAAGCAGAUCUUUAGUUUGCAGUGUCUUUGGGGGGGUGUGGGGUAUCCAAAAUGCUUCGAAUACCGCAAAGAACAAAACGAAAAGCAAAAAAAAAAGCAAAAAAGCAAAAAAAAACACACACACACACACACACACACACACACACUGCCGACACGGCACAGUGCUGCGUAUCGUGCUGUCUCACGCGAUACACACACUGUGCCGCAGCACGGAAGGGGGUCCGAGACCCCCACUGUACCGUGCCCCCUUACGUGCCGCCCUGUGCUGUACGGCAUAAGGCGGCACUUUAAUCCUUGAUUUUGACUCUCUAAAACCAUAUUCAUAUACAUAUCUGGCCAGAUCCGAAUAUUUUCUAUCCAGAUGCAGAUAAUGUUAAAUAUAGAUAUGGAUAUUUUUGGAUAUAUCCUAUCCGUUUUCACCCCUACACCAACAAUAUUCAUCUAUUUGAAAGAAAAAGAAAAAAAAAAUCUCUCCUUAGCUUUGCAUCCUAAACUAUAAUUUCCUACACUUAUAAUUAGCUUUGGAGUAGUUUCUUACUCCAUAAAAACUUAUGGUAAGCAAAUGAUGUCAAAAUAGUUCUAUGAUCAUUACAAACAUGUAAAAAAAAAUUUGAAGAAGCAGCGGGAACAGAAACUCACUGAUCUAUCAGUUCGUGGAGUAUCUGUGGGUUUAAACCCGUAAUCCUCGGCAUUCACCACGAUACUAAAGGUUUCACGUGAGAUUCCUAGUAAGACACAGAAGAUAAGCAUUCAAGCUUCCGUUGAAAAUAAUUAUUUACAGAAUAUUAAAGAACUCUCAACUGAACAAUCCAUCAAUUGAAAUAAGAAAAAGGGAAUAGUACCCACACUCAGAUUAGUCAAAAGAAAAAAUUACAGUUCCAUACCAUCAAUAUCAGACAAAAUUGCAGAGCUUGGGGAGCGGAAACCUGAACAGUGAUUCACCGGAAGGCCCUUUGAUGCAUUAGCUGAUCUCGCCUUUGUGGUCAUAGAAAGUGCACCUUCCUCACCCUACAACAGCAGCAAAUGUAUUAUAAAAGGAGAUAUAAAAAAAGUUAUUUCAAACUGGAACUUGAAAAGGAAAAGUGGAUCACUAAAUCAAAUCCAAUGGAAUGUUUAUAAAUGAUAGUAGCAAAAACAUCUUGUUCUUCCAUAGAAACUAGAGAGACUAGAUAGUUAAGAACGAAACCCGAGUACUACAUUUAUCUCAUGGCCUUUUUUCCAGUUAUUCAAAUACUAAUUUAUGAUGCAUUAAAAAAGUGAAAUUAUUUGUCCACAAAACGAAAAAAGAUGUUCAGAGAAGCCAAAUAUACAGCGAUAUAGCCAUUCAACAAAGCAAUCAGAAUGCAAAAGCAACAGUUAUGAAACAAUUGAAGUUUUUAGUCUUUUACCAACCUUUACAACCAAACCAGAAUGAACACUUCUUCUUUUCAUAAGCAUUAGCAAUGAAUCUUCAUAACCGCCGUGAUAGAAUCCAGCAACAAUGGCUUCUCUCCCACGCGCCUUAACAAAGAAAUAUCACAAGUAAGAUUUCUACUUUCACCUUAUGUACUCUGUACUCAUUGAAAUCUUUUAUAACGGAACUGUAGUUUUCAUGUUUAAACUGUCCAGAAUCCCCUUUAAAACUACAAUAUAGCCCAAAACUCACAAUUUUUUUAACAAACAGCAGCUUCCAAAUCCAUCAAAUAAUUCAAAAUAAUUUGAAGAUGAUUAACAAUUAGGAAACAAUCAGAUAUCUUCAUAGUUGAUCCUACUGAUUUCACCAACUUGAUAAUAUAAGGAAAUCAAACAAAUGUUCAGCAUUCUGCAGCUCCAUAACAAAAGAUAAUUAUUGAAUCUUGCUAAGUGAAAACAUGAAGGUGAAAGCUUCUUAUACGUGUUAUUAGAGAAGUUAAAUGAUAGAGCAUGCAACAUUAAAUUUCAGUUUUCCAUAAAUGAAAACAAUGACUUCAGCACUACCAGUCAUAUGUUGAAAAGGUGACUAUCAAAUCAAUAUGAACUAAAAUAUCUCUUAAUAAAAUCAAUAUGAACUAAAAUUUUCAGUAAAAACUACAGUAAGUACAAAGAAAUUCUACCAUUGAAGAGUAUAUAUACCAUUGAAGAGUUCCAACUAGCAAAUGAAAUUUGUAGAACAUGGCAGAUGUCAUAAACAUGAAAACUGUAAAUAUCUCCAGUCUCAUUCCAGAGUGGGAAAUGCUAAUAAAUUUUAUUAACACUCAUUCCUACACAGAAACUCAAAUGAAAUUGGUUCGAAAAUAUAUCACAACUCACUCUAACAAACUGUUGAACUUUCUCAGAGGUUGCCAAGGGUGGACGUUUCUUUAUGUGCUCCCUAAGCCCAAUAAGUGAAUAUCUGCAAGGAAACCAUGAGUGAGAAUUCUUGCAUCUCAAAAUAAGUGCAAUAACACUAAGUACAUGACAUGAUAGGCAGAAAGCAGUAAACAUGUCCAAUCAUUGAAUUCUAUGCAGAAAGAGCACAUUGACGAUGCUGUAAAAGCCCGCAGAUAAUCUCCACACCUAUUGAAGCCCAUGUGUGAGGAGCAUCAUAUUGAAAGGCCUAAUAACAAGCACAAGUAACAAGAAGAAUGCUGUUCCUAGCUCACAUGACACCAGAGGCAUGCCAACUCAAGCUUAUAUAUGGAUGACGACGAUGACCUAAAAUUAUGUUUGAUAUUCUGGCGGAUAGUGAUUGGGUAGUCUAAAUGAGCCUCGGAAAGGGUAAGUCUAAAUGAGCCUCUGAAAGGGGCAUUGUUUGCGUUUGAAACUUGUUUGAUCCGUAAACAAAGUGGAAUGAACUGUCACUUGCAUGCCCCUAAUCAAACUAGAAAAAAGUUGCAUAAAUCCAAAAGAGUUCCAAGUACCAUAGAGUUAGUGGUACUGGCUAAAAGAACUCAAAUCGAAGCAGGAUACCAAAAUAGGAAUGUCAAUGGGUAUGGAUUCCCAAAGUUUUAUCCGAACCCAAACCCGAAUGGAGCGGAUUUACCCGAUACUAAAUGGAUAUAGUUUCGGAUGUGGAUAUCAAAAAUUAAAACCCGACGAAUUUGGAUUCGGGUAUGGAUUUUGACUGUACCCGACCCGAACCCGAACCUGAAUUGAUUUUACAUUAUAUAAUAUAUAAAUAUAUAAAUGUUUGAUGUUAUAUUUGAAUUUGUAUUUUAAAAAUUUAGAUUUUAUGUAAUAUAUUUUCAAAUAUUGUAAAAAGAAGCAUUUGUUUUGGGUUUGGGUUUGCGGGACCAGGUUCGGGUUCGGGUUUCAGGUUUGGUAGUCCAGUUCGAGUACGGGUUAUUAAAAACCCGCCAAGAAUCCGACCCGUUGACAUCCCUAUACCAAAAGAAAAUUGUAAAAUAGCUAGAAGAGGAUGCAAAAUGUUCAUAACAUGCACUUCACUAAUCUUGUGCAAGUAAAUCUUACUCUAUCAUAUUUCUAACUUAAUAUUCUCUAAUCUCUAAGUAUCUCAAUACCCAUGAUUUGAGAACCACUAAUAGUUAUGUACAAGUACAAAAAAUAAAAAAACAAUAUUCUGUAUGUGUCCAAGGUGUUUCAAUUUUGUUUUUCUUUCCCCUUUUUCUUUCUUAAAGCUUUUGAAAAUAUUCCAUUUAAGACUCCAAAAAAACCAGAAACAACAAAAAUAGAAAAUAGAACUCCAGAAAGUCAAUCAAACAAUAACAUAGUCAACAAACCUUACUAAGAAAUCAUCAACUAAAAAUUGCAAUUAAUAGCUGUAAUAAUGGAAUCAGAUUAGAACAGAGAAUUGGAUGGCCAAUGGGCCCUGUUUAGAUAGAAAGUUAAAAAAGUCAAUGGAGUUUAUUUUCUGUAGUUGACCUGGUUGCAUACAGGGAUUCCAUGAAAUUCUAUAGGAAUGCAUAGUCUACUUUUAUCUCUAAUUGAAUGCCAACUGCACAGUUCCAAAGCAAUUUUGUUAAAUUUGACAAAAUUACUAACAAAAAUUGUAAAUUUCUCAAACAAAUAGAGAUCAAAAUUAUAAACUAAACUACAUGAAAUUAAACUACAUCUAGACUCUUUUUGUUUCCAACCAAAACAUUACUAAUCAAAAUUACUAACUAAAAAUUAACAAAUGGAGAUCAAUUGCUAAUUAAAUUAAAUUAAAUAUACUCCAUUCCAUUAGUCAUAAAAAUUAACAAAUAAAAAUAAAAAAUUAACAAAUAUUACUAAAUAAAAUUAAUUAGUUCAAUUUGACUAGGCAGUGAAAGCGAUGGUGGGGACAGUGGAGGUGAAGUGGCUGUAGAGGGGGGUGGCAGCUGAGGAGGGGCCAGCAGAGGUGAAGGUAGCGGCAAGGCAGCGGAGAAGGAGGAAGCGGCAGCGGAUGAUGAGGAGGAGGCGGCGGCAGCAGGAGGUAGGGGAUGGAGAUUUUUUUUUUUUCAAAUUUGAGUGGAUUUUAACUGCAUUUUAUUUUUUGGCCCAUAGGUUAAUUAUACUCUAUUUUUUAGAUGUCCUUUGAAGCAUCCAAACACCUCAUGGUAAAAUUUUUCCAACUGUAUAGGAUAAUUAUACUAUACUUUGUUUAAUGGUGCAUCCAAACAGCACCUAAUGUUCAAAUGAAUAUAGUAUCCAAUACUCGGCACACCGAAACUUCAAUGGUAAUCCAUAAAACCUGAGCACUAUGUAACAAGUUCAACCAAACUGAUGGAACAAGCAUUAAAGAUUCAAAUCACAUCUCCUAUGAAGAUUCGAAAUCGGUGCAGCAUGACUGUAACAAAUUCCAUCAAAGGUCAUUUUUGCUUGACAUAACGUAGGAAACCUUAAUUCAUUCAUAUGGUACUGGUUAACUGACCAAUUAAAAGUUCACUGUUUUAGACAUUAAAUUAGUGAAGUUAUGGUUAAGAAAUGAAAGAUACGGAAUCUUGAAGUCAAUGGUUUUCUCACUGACAUUGACUAUAAAAUCUAUUAAUACAAGAAUGCAUAGUGCAGGAAACAGCAACAUGGAAAAUGGGAAAGAGAUUAUCUGUCCUUACAAGGAUGGGCGAGCUUCUUGCAAACUCACAUAAGAAAAGCCAACAUUUUCAUCCUGGAAAUUGUCAAAAGUUCAAUAGCACAAUAUAUCCAACAGAAAAAAGGAAAAGGUAAAAGUAGAAAAAAAAAUAUCAACAUAACAAGAGUGCACCUCCAAUAGUUUUUUUGCUUGUUCUGGGGACAUGUGAGUGUUUGCACCCAUGAACUUAAGCAGCUGUCCUUCUGUUACCCCCCCCUGAAUACUUUAAUAAUUAAGCAAUUCAGACAUGUCCAUAGCAAGAAGAAAGGAGCAUAAGGAACUAGAGGCUCUGGAUGGGAAAUUUAAUUGCAACUUAUCUAGGUACCCAUUUGGCCUAGCUUCUCCUUUUGCUCUAAGCUGCAGCCAUCUCUAGCAGCAUUUGGCAAACAAAAUAGCUACUACUAUGGCAAGAAGAAAUGAGAUUUGAGGCCCAAAAGCACAAGUAUCAAUGUGGGGCUUCAUCUUUUGCAGAAUAAAGACGUUGUUGGGAGGGAUUUCAAUGAAAAAGCUGUUAGUGAUUCUCCUACACCCUACAGCCGGGCAAUAGAGGCUCUAAGAAUAUGCUACUAAGUUUCAUCGAACAGUCCUACACCCAACAGCCGGGAAAUAGAGGCCUUACUAUACUACUGACCUUAGGUGGCAUCCAUUCAACACCAUGGAGCAGGCAAGAUUCACCAUAACAGGCUCUCACAGCAGCAACAAAUAACGUGCUCCUAAAAAAGCGCGUAUUUCCAUCAUAAGGUUCACCAUAGUGAGUCAAGGAGUUAACAUCAGCAAUUGGAGAAGGGCCUAUGGACAAAACAAAAAUUAGAACUGUAAUGCAUAACAAAAAUAAGGGCUUUUUUUGCAUUUGGCUCCCUCAAAAUAUUUUUUUUACAAAUAGCCCCAUCAAAUUUGUAAUUGCAAAUUUGGCCCUAUCCCCGCCACGCAGGCACCACGUCAGCGCCAUGGUUUUAAGUUGAACACAGUAAAUCAUUUACCGUGUUCAAACACGGUGAAUGGUUUACCGUGUUCCAUACCUAUAUUCCCCUCCUUCCCCCUUUUUAUUUUCCUUAUAUUUUUUCGCAAUACAUAUAUAUUAUACUUUCCCCAAACACGGUGAACCAUUCACCGUGUUUAGACACAGUGAAUGGUUCACCGUGUUCAACUUAAUAAACUAGCCCCAGCCCGACUCACAUGGCGCUGAUGUGGCGCCUGCGUGGCAGGGCUAAGGCCAUUUUUGCAAAUAUAAAUUUGUUGGGCCAUUUUUAAAAUAAUUUUUUUCCAGGGGCCCAAAUGCAAAAAAAGCCCCAAAAAUAAUAAUCAAUAAGGUGCAACAAAAGCAUUACCUAGCUCAUCAUCAAAUGCAAGACAAUAUGCUUUAAGUUCGCGAUCAGUUUCUCUAUUCAUCCGCUGUCCAAUUAAAAAUGCUGCAAGCAAUGCCUCACUCACCUUUGCUGGCUUAUCUUUCUCAAUGCUAAUUGGAAGUACAUCUCUUAGAAUGCCCUGAACUUCUUCAUAACCUAAAUGGCCACCAGCCAAAACUUCUCUCAGAGCACCUACUAGCCUCAUUUCAGCAGUUCCUUGACCAACAUAAUGAGGCCCUAUUGAGCUAGUUGUUCCCAUUAUUGUGCCCUCUGGAUCUGCUAUAAAGAGAACUUCCGGUGGAAGAACCUGUGCAAGGCGUGGCCAGAAUAUACUCAUGGCAUGUCUUUCACCCUUACUCCACUGUGUUUCUUCAGGAAAAGCAUUUGCUCGUAUUGUCAUAGCAGCAAAGAACGCCCCAAGUUGCGCUUCGGAGACUACUCCGUCUUUGAGUUCUCCCCUAGCUUAAGAAACAUAGAAGAUUAGGAAAAGUAUUUGAGCACUACCAAUCAACUGCAUGCAACUGAAGUAGUUAAACUGUAGAAUGUAUAACAAUUUGCAUGUUUUCUUUGUUAUAAUUCCCUUAAUAUGGUUUAAGAUUACUCACUGGAAUUAUAUGAGAAUUGAGCUUCAAUAAAUCAUUUUUUUCACUUCUUACAGUUCAACUUUGCAUGUAUGUUGCAAUCCACACGCAUUAUAUUGUUGUACUUUUUAGACUAUUUAGAUUUCAUAAUUGCAAGUCGAAAAAGAUAAUACUGUAAUACAUCAUUUUAGUGAGCUUAAAGAUAUUUUAGUGAGCUUAAAGAUUGUAGAAAUAAAAGUGUCCAAAUUUUGAGUAAUACAUUUAAUUUUUUUCAAAAUAUUGAUCCAGCUUUCAACACUCCUAAGUAUACUCUUAAGCAAGGUUUUAAGUGCCCAUCGGCAUAGGCCGUAUCCACCGUACCGUACCGUACCAACAAGAUACUGGGACGAUACAGACCCCGUGCCGAUGGCAAAGCUCAAAACCCUCUAUUCUUUAAAUUAGUAAAUAAUUUCCUCAAUUAAGUUCAAAAGAUGUGAUAAAAAGACAUAAUAAAUAGUUAGAAUAUUUUGUUGCUAAAGAAAAUAAAUAUUUCAUGCUAUAAUGUGUCGGCACACAAGAAUUUUUUUGACCAGCACGCAUCGGCACGGCUCGGCACGCACCGUGCCGUACCGUGCCGGCAAGUUUCCGGCACGACCCCGUGCCACAGCACUUAAAUCCUUACUCUUAAGCAUUAUUUUAUCUUGAAAUAUUUCAAUACACUGGUGAUCUGACUAGCGUCAUCAAAUUCUGAUAACAAAGGUAAUUUGCCAGUUAUUCUCAUUUUUACUAUAUUGCCACCAAAAUGAGUUUAAGGAAUGAGGAUCAUAAUGGUAUUUCCACACACUCUCCAACUUUACCAAAUAUUUGUGAAACUUAAAUUCUGUAUAAUAAACAUAAGAAUGAUGAUAGUAACAGAUCUAAUUAUUUCUACGCACAUAAUUGACCAAGUGCAUAACACAGAGGAUGGAGCGCUCAUUCAGAGGCAUAAGUCCCCACAGGCGACUCAUUCCUCGAGCAGGAAACAGAGCGUGCAUACAAUGGAACGUGCAUGUCAAGCAUGCAUAGUCACGAAGGUCCUAUUUGGAUGGCGGAAUAAGUUAUCAAAGAAUAGCUUAUUCCGUUUGAGAAUUUUCUAGUAUUUUCUAGUAUGAUUGUAAAUAAGGAAUAUGAUUUUUUUUUCUUCUUCAAAGAUCUUGCCAUCAAAAAUUUGGUAGGAUAGUAUAUUUUAUCUACGAGGUGAUUUAUCUUAUUUAGAAAAAAUGAUUUGAAGGCUGAAUAUGGCAUUCCAUUCUAAAUAUUUCAUCACACUCCUUAUCAAUCAACUAUACAAAUUUCUUUAGUAAGUCAGUGAGAUAUAUGGAACAAAAUAUUCAUGCAUCCAAAUAAGGCCGAAGACAGAUUAGAUGCAAUGAAUUUGGUCAGAUUCAGCAAAUUCAAUCAGCGAGAAAUAGCUAAAUUCACUUAAUCGCCCUGUCGAUAGUAAUUGGCGCUGCCAAUAUUAUCAUCUGAUGACACCACUCUUAACAGUCAACUCUCAUACAAAAUUCAGGAAAACAUUAGUAACACCAAAUACUUGGGGAGAGUUCCUUAUCCAACCACCAAUAAGACGACUUUAACUCCAACGCAACUAAUACAAACCAAAUUGGGUCAAUACUCAAGGUAAAGAACACCACUUCGAAACCAGUGCAAUCAAACACAAGCAUCACCUGAUGUGAGGAUGGUAUCAAGAACCCUAAUCGCCUGCUCCUCUCCGAGCGGCUUCGUUUGCUCCGGGCCCGUGCACACCUUCGCCUGCGCCUCCAGCACCGUCCGAUUCGGCUGCGGGAUCUCCGGCGGCCGGUACGAGGUCGAGAGCGCCGGGUUCCGGAGGUCCAUCUCGAGGAGCCCCGCCUCGUCGAUCGCCGCCGCCGCAGACGAUCCGGCCCUCGUACGGGUCAAGAAGCGAAGGGAGCUGGGGUUCUUGGAGAGGGAGAGGCUCGCGCGCUUCGUGGGGAGGGAGAAGGAGGGGAAGUUAGGGUUAGGGUUGGGGUUCGGUUUGAGGAGGAUCUUCAUGGUGUGGUGAGAGAGGAGGUGGGGGAGGAAGAUGUAGGGACUGGGCUGGUCGUCGGCCUCGGUGAGCUACUGAGCUCCUCGAUGAGACGAGCUGGGAGAAACGGAAGGACUUCUUUUUUUUAAAUAAGGACUUUUUUACAAAAUAACCUUCUACAAUAUUAAAAUUUGCCAAUUAUCCCUUUCAAAAUUUUAUUUUGAAAACUAACACUCAUUUCGCCACGUAGGCACCAGGAUGGGUAUUUGUUAUGAAGGCAGCAAAUCGUUCACCGCCCGUCUUCCUAAUAUAACUUUAGAAGACGGUGAAUGAUUCACCACCUUCACUAAAACGGUAAAUCAUUCACCGCCUUUAGUGUAAAUUUCCCACCACGCAACUUAGAAAUUUUCUAAGUCGUAAAGGGAAUAAUGUACCUUGAGAAGGCGGUGAAUCGUUCACCGCCUUCAUUAGAUAUACCUCAUCCCGACACCUCUCCUUCUCUCUCGCGCUUUCGUUCUCUCUCUCUCUCUUUCUUUUCAGGAGCGCUCGUCGGUCACCGCCGCCCCUGCCGCCGUCGCCCCCGCCAGUCAAUGAUCGCCAUCCCCCCCACAGUUGCCCCUGCCAACCCCGCCGUUGCCCCUGCCAACCCCGCCGUUGCAGGUAUUGAGAUUGCUACCUGCCAGAUUUUCUGUGUAUAUUUAGUUGAAAUUUUCAGUUAAUUAAGUUUUCUGGAAUUAAAACCCAAAAUCAUUCUUAGCCCCGAUGCAACAAUAAGACUUAGGAACCAUUAUUAGAGAAAACUUGAAUAUACAACUAUUCAUUAGAUAACAAUCAACGAAAAACUACAUUUCAGAGUAAGAAAAACUUAUGGGCAAUAUUAAUGGAGUAAACGAUGUCAUUUUUCUCCACUUUCCUUAUUAAAGGCUGCGUUUGGUUCAGGUAUAAGUAAGAACCGCUAGUUCCAGAGAUAGAUACAAGUUCAGAUAUAACCAGGAACUAAAUCAAUUUUGCGUUUGGAUGAAAAUUGGGUUGUUCCUAGGAAUAAAUUAAAUAGUGUUUGGAUGGUUAGAUUGGAACAAGAGGAAUAAGAGUUAUAAUUUAAAAUUAAAAUUAUAUUAUGUAAUUAAUUAACAUCAAAAUAUUACUUAAAAAUAGAUAAUAAAUUAAUCAUUAAUAGUUAAUUAUAAAUAAUAAUAAUUUUUAAUAAUUAAUUAUAAAUAAUAAAUUAAUAAUAUCGAUUAUCUAAUUAAUAAUAAUAAUAAUAUCAAUUAUCUAAUUAUUAUUAAUAUUUAUUAAUAAAUAUUAAUAAUUAUUAAUAAUUAAUUAUUAGUUAUAAAUUAAUAAUAAUAAUUAUCUAAUUAUUAAUAAUUAAUUAUAAAUAAUAAUAUAAUAAUAAUAUUGAUUAUCUAAUUAUUAGGGAUAAUAAUUAUUAAUAAAUAAUAAUUAUUAUUAUUAAUUAUUAAUAAUUAAUUAUUAGUAAUAAAUUAAUAAUAAUAAUUAUGUAAUUAUUAAUAAUUAAUUAUAAAUAAUAAAUUAAUUAAUUAUGUAAUUAUUAAAGUAAUAAAUAAUUAUUUAAAUAUAUUAAUUAGAUUAAUUAAUAAUUGAUUGCUAUUAAUUAACCUUAUUCUCAUUAAGGAACAAGCUUGUUCCAGCAAACUAGUGGAACAGCAGUUCCAGCCUUAAUUAUUCCAGAAUUUUCGGAACUGCUGUUAUCGGAUACCAAACAUCACGUUUGGGAACAAAAGAGGGAACAAGGGCUUAUUCCCCCCUUUGUUCCCGAACCAAACGUAAAGGUUUAGGAUGGGUGUAAAAACUAAGUUUAAAAUGGUUAAUCUGUUGCCAAUUUUACAAUCGGUGUAAAACUAGAUUUAGAAAGGUUAACUCUUUUCUUCUAUUGGGAGUAGUAGUAGUCCUAUUCAGAUUCAACUUUUUGAUAAAUAUGAGCUCUUUCCUGUUAAAACUCUCAAUGAAUUGAAGCGUAAAAUGUUAAAAGUUUAU